rnacentral:lncRNA from 1 species
CACCACUUCUGUUUUCCUGAUUUUAUUCACAGAAAUAAUGCAAACCGGUGAAGCUCUUCUGUACAAGCAGAUGUAGCUUACCUUAUUGGUUCGAACCUUUUAUGUCCAUGUUUAUUUGAUGCGCUGGUGAAGCCUUGUGUGCUUUGAUGGAGAAGUAGAAACGAAUUUGAAGGAUUGUACCUUGUAUGUUACAUGAGCCUGUUUUUCUUCUUUAAUAAUGUUAUAAAGAAUGACUAUCCUCAUAAUCUGAGUGAACUCUAAAAUUAUGUCGGCAUCUGAUGGCUAAUGUUUGCUCUAGUUGAUAUUAAUAAUGGAUUUGUGUUCCACUUCUAUUCGGCUUCCUGAGCAGCAGCCAGACGAAGCUAAAAUGAAGGCAGAACCUUAGUCUAGCCCCCAUCUCCUUCAAAAGAUAUAUUUUCUUUCUGAACCUUGUUGGCGAUGAAGCACCCUGUACAACACGUGGACUCUGAGAAGUGGGUUUGGGCCACCACAUUGUUAUCAAGCCUCCUUUGUCCUUCGUGGCACGUAAUUCCUUCAUGAUUUGGCUGUUGGCUUGAUUCUCUUCCUGUUGAACACAGAGUGUUUUAACCGGACUAAGCACGCCGUCUUAUAAUCCUGCAGACUAAUCUUGAUCGACUUAUGAAGUUGCUGCAAUAAAUAGUGAGAAAACUACAAGCCACGGUGGCUCCUAUCCUCAUGGACAGGGGAUGAUGAAUGAUGAGUAACAUGUAAGUUGCGUUUUUUCCCCCAUAUCUAAAGAUAAAAAACAAGAACAGAAAAUAAGAUUCACUUAGUGAUAAAGUCAACAAGCGCACAUGUCAGGCUGGGAAUAGUUUGGAUCAAAACUUAGUUUUUGGUUUGGUUUUUGAUUUGGUCUCACUAGUUUGGUCUCUACUGGAUUUAGAUAGACAAACAAUUUGGUUCGGUUUGAGUUGUGGCUAAUAACGGAUUGGAUAUGUUUAGGUUGGGUGCAGACUUAUGGGUUGAAAACUGUUGCAAACUAUGGUUUGAGACCGGAUUGAUGGGUUAGUCUCAAGCGAAGGUCCAAAUGCCACCACCUUCCCAGCACGCUCAGUCGCUUCUUGUCAAUCUAUCCAUCGUCCAACCCAAGCUUCGUCCACGUGCGUACUCGUGCCAUGGACGCCUCUGACUUGGGAGAAGAUGAUCUUGACUUGGACCUGCUGCACCUCCAUGACCACGCCGACGACAAGGGUGACAUCCAUGACCACGUCGACGCCGGCGUAGAACCUAUGAUGUUGGGAAUAAGCCGUGACCGGCACGGUGGUGACCGGCGUGCGUGUGCGCCAGGAACGGUCCGUGCAGGCCAUAGGAGCGUAUGUGUGUUUGUCCGUGCGUGUGUGCGCCAGGAGCGAUCCGUGCAGGGCAUGGGCGUGUGUGUGUGCGUGCGUCGGGAGCGUGGCAUGGGCGUCGGGCGCGCGAGCCGGCCACGUCGAGUGGAUGCAUGCGCGUCGGGCGGGCGAGCCGUGGAGCGCGAGACGUGCCGAGUGCGCGAGUGGGGUGCGUCGAGAGCGCGGCGUGGCGCAUUAGUGCUAUAAGUCCCCCUCCCUCGCGUGUAUUGUACCAAGCGGACCGAGUUCGUGCUCGAGGAGAAAAACAAAAAAACUGUCGGUGCGACAAGGUGUUUGUCUGUGACCAAAUUCUCGGUGUCCAUUCUCCCACUGUAUCUUGUUGUCUUCGGUGAUCACCGGUGCGCCGGGAGUCCGUUUUAGCUAACAUAGGAGACGAUGGCGACCAACACACCCUGAGCAAACGAUCAUGACCUGAACGGCAACUGCCUUCUUCAAGUUUGUUUGUAUCCAAGUUCCAACACCCGAGCAGCAAAUACUCACUAGUCAGUUACACGGCUGUUGUGCUUUGUCCAUGGUUUGAGUUUGUGGGUUUAAUCCAAAACUUGGAAACAGUUUGAGCUGGAUUGGGUGGGAAAUACGUAUAGUUUGGUUUGGUUUGGAUUCUAGCUACAAGUUUUUGGUUUGGACGCUGGAGCUAUACUCGUACAGUCUGGACUGGUUUUAGCCUGGAUGUCAAACUACAAGCUAUACUCGUACAUAAAAGAGCUUGAUAAUUUCCAAGUGCAAUUGUCGUAGCACUUUUCAAUGAUGGAGAGGGUAAGUAUGGAUUGUCGAACCAACAUGGAGCUAAAGGUAAUAUCAAUAUGCCAUUUAUACAACUCUUCAUACACCAAGCGUUUGCUUUAUCUAGCAAAUAAAACUAGAACUACUUUACAGGUAUGAAAGGAUAGCUUUGCAAGAUCACAACAAUUGUGAACAUAAAAGUUAAGUGUUGCCUAAGUAAUAGUACAAUAUUAUACAAUAUAAUACAAAUAGGGAGUGAGAAAUAGUGGUGGUAUGGUGUGUGGAAUUGUCCCUGGGUAAUUAGCUAAGUUACUAAACCGAUCAUCAUUGCAAGUUUAUAUGUGGGAGAAGUCUCUGCUAACGUACAAUCCAUAAUUUGAGUCGCACGUUCUAUUAUUGAAGCUAUUAGAAAACAUCCACAAUUACUAACAAGUUCAUUAAGGUAAAUACAACCAUAAUAUUAAGAUAUAUUGCCCCCCCCCCCCUUCAAUCUCAUAUGUACCAAUUUCCAUGGUGAGGCGAGGUUUCGGUCACUCCUGCCGCCAUAUGCAUAGUCCUAUAAACAUACUAAUAACCCUAAUGUGUGGUCCAUGCGCCCUCUCCUAUUAUGGACACCAAAGGAUAGUAGCAUAACCGCAUGCAACUUAAACCGAUCACAACAAUUCAACAAUUAACCCAUAGGACAACAAUACUCUACUCGGACAUAAAGAAGAUGCAAUAAAUCAUCAUAAUAAUAAUCGAUAGCAUCCAUGUUCAAGUAGGGGAUUACAACGGGUUGUGGGAAAGUGGAUCGCUGGAUAGAAGUGAGGAAGGUGAUGGAGAUGCCGGUGAUGAUAGUUCCCCCAGCGACACUCCGGCACCAUUGGGAGAGAUGGGGAGAGAGCCCCCUCCUUCCUCCAUGGCCUCCGUCCUAGAUGGAGAGAGGUUCUUCCCUCUUGUUCAUGGCCACCAUGGUUCCCGGAGGGGCGAGAGCCUCUCUAACAUUGUAUCUCUCCUCCUCUUUUUCCCUCUGUUUUCUUCUCUGUUUCAGAUUUGUUUCUAUGGCUGAGCACGUUUCCUAAAUAUCCAGAGAUUCGUAACUCCGGCCGGGAUGAUUUUUUGACCCUAUCCCCCUACCAAAAAUUAGCUUUCAUGCGGCGAAAGAAGGUUCCCUCGCGCACCACCUUAUGCUAAUUCCUUCGCCCAAAAAUCCGAUAUUUUCUAUAAACAAUUCACAUUUUUUAGCUUCAGGGCUUCGUGAAUUUUUGACCUAUAUUUCAAAAAACAAUAGAAAACAAGAGCUGGCUUUUGGCACUGGAUUAAUAGGUUAGUACAAAUAAAUGUUGUUCCAAAAACAUAAAUAAAUGAUGCAAAUAAAGCAUGAAUACUUAAAAAUUAUUGAUACGUGGGAGACGUAUGAGUGCUACAUGGAUCAAGUUAAUUGGAUUAACAUGCAAUAGAUAUGGUAUGUUCAUUGGAUGCCACAAUUAUAGAUGGAGGUUAAUCAUGGAUGAACAUGGCAUAGGAUGGUGAUGGAUAUAAACUAAGACUAUCUACUUAUUUUAAAUGAAGUAGGAAAUCAUAUAUAAAGAAUUUCCCAAAUAAUACAUAACAAGAGAAAGGUUAAUUAUGGAUUAAGCCUUAACUGCAAUUUUAGUUGAUGCACACAUGCAUGAGGAUGACAUAUUAAUGAUCUAUGAAUUAUGCUAAUCAACAUGGCUUAUUAAACCAAGCUUGGAUAAAUUAGUUAUUAAUUAGGCUUUUUAAUAAUGUAUUAAUGUAGUUUAGUUAAAUCCAACAUUUUAAAUAGUGCAAACAUGUAUGCAAAAGACAUAUUCAUGAUCUACACAUUCUUUUAAUCAAUCUUUGUACAUAACUUGUCAAAUUUGGAGUUCUUACUCCUAUAAAGAUUGUUGGAGUACGAGCCUACUAGGAACCUGAUAGGUCUCCAACGUAUCUAUAAUUUUUGAUUGUUCUAUGCUAUUAUAUUAUCUAUCUUGGAUGUUUUAUUUGCAUUAAUAUACUAUUUAUAUCAUUUUUUGGGACUAACCUAUUAACCUAGUGCCCAGUGAUAGUUGCUAUUUUUUUCCUUAUUUUUGUCUUCUACAGAAAAUCAAUACCAAACGGACCGAAACUUUUUGAGAAUUCUUCUUCGACCAGAAGACAACCAUGAAGCUUCGGUAGGAGGCCAGAGGGGCCACGAGAGAGCCACAAGCUCGUAGGGCGCGCCCUAGGGGGGGGGGUGCCCCGGGCUUGUGGGCCCCUCGGGACUCCCCUAACCCUAAUUCUAGCUCCAUUAAUAUAUACCCAAAUAUUCCUCGUAUACCAGAGGGCGCACCAAAAAUACUUUUUCGCCACCGCAAGCUUCUGUUCUCAUGAGAUCCCAUCUAGGGGCCUUUUCUUCCACUCUAUCAGAGGGGGAUUCGAUCGGAGGGCCUCUACACCAACCUUGCUGCCCUACGGAUGAUGUGUGAGUAGUUUACCACAGACCUACGGGUCCAUGACGAGUAGCUAGAUGGCUUCUUCUCUCUCUUUGAUCUUCAAUACUAUGUUCUCCUCGAUGUUCUUGUAGUUCUAUUUGAUGUAAUGUUCUUUUGCAGUGUGUUUGUUGAGAUACGAUGAAUUGUGGAUUUAUGAUCAGAUUAUCUAUGAAUACUAUUUGAGUCUUCUCUAAACUCUUUUAUGCAUGAUUAAUAUAUGUAACACCCCGGAUGUAACUUUCCCAAUUUGUACUCCAACUCUUGCCGUUUCCGGCGUUAAGUUAUUUUAUUUUCUCGGGUUCGGGUUUUUGUCUCCGUGUGUUGUAUCGUUGUCAUGCAUCUCAUAUCAUGUCAUCAUGUGCAUUGCAUUUGCAUACGUGUUCAUCUCAUGCAUUCGAACAUUUUCCCUGUUGUCCGUUUUGCAUUCCGGCGCUUCGUUGUCCUCCGGUGGUCAUUUCUACCUUUCUUUCGUGUGUGGGGAUUAAACAUUUCCGGAUUGGACCGAGACUUGUCAUGCGGCCUGGGUUUACUACCAGUAGACCGCCUGUCAAGUUUCGUAUCAUUUGGACUUCGUUUGAUACUCCAACGAUCAACCGAUGGAUCGAAAAGGCCUCGUGUGUGUUGCAGCCCAACACCCCUCCAUUUUGGCCCAAAACCCACCAAAACCCUCUCCAUCAUCUAGAGCGUUCGAUCACGAUCGCGUGGCCGAAAACCGCACCUCAUUUGGACUCUCCUAGCUCCUACCUAUAAAAAGCAUCCCCUCUCAAAAUUCGCGGAUCUCCUCUCUCCCAAACCCUAAAAAUCCCCUCGCGCCGUCGCCGGACACGUCCGUCCUGGACGGACAAAUCCACCGCCGCCAUCCGCUCUAACCAGGGCACGCCACAUGGACGUGCGCCCACAUCACCGCCCGCGGCCCGCCGGGCCCGAGGAGAGCCCCCGUGGCCCGGGUCUCCGCCGCCGCCGCCCGACCCUUCUCCUUCCUCCCACGCCACUCGNNNNNNNNNNNNNNNNNNNNNNNNNNNNNNNNNNNNNNNNNNNNNNNNNNNNNNNNNNNNNNNNNNNNNNNNNNNNNNNNNNNNNNNNNNNNNNNNNNNNNNNNNNNNNNNNNNNNNNNNNNNNNNNNNNNNNNNNNNNNNNNNNNNNNNNNNNNNNNNNNNNNNNNNNNNNNNNNNNNNNNNNNNNNNNNNNNNNNNNNNNNNNNNNNNNNNNNNNNNNNNNNNNNNNNNNNNNNNNNNNNNNNNNNNNNNNNNNNNNNNNNNNNNNNNNNNNNNNNNNNNNNNNNNNNNNNNNNNNNNNNNNNNNNNNNNNNNNNNNNNNNNNNNNNNNNNNNNNNNNNNNNNNNNNNNNNNNNNNNNNNNNNNNNNNNNNNNNNNNNNNUCACCGCCCGGAGCCGCCGCGCCACCUCGACGCUGGCGCUCGCCGCCCCGGCCACCGUCGCCUCGGCGCCCGUCCUUGCCGCUGCCCUCACGGCCAGAUCCGGCGACCGCCCCCCCUCUCCGGCAAAGUCCCGUCCGACUCCGGCGAGAUCCGCCACCGCCUCGGCUUCCAUGCACCGUUGACUUUUAUCUCGAGGUGUUUUUUUUUCUUCCAAGUCCUCAAAUCUCAGAUCCAUAUGCUCCUGUUCAUCAUGUCGUAUCUCCUCAUCCAUAGCUCCGAUUUGGGCAUAUAGCAUAUCAAAAUCUUCAUCUCAGAGAGUACAUCAUUUCAUUCCAUUGCAUCAUUUUCAUUUGAGUUCAUCUUGAUGCCUGAAAUGCUGUUAGAAGAGGGCUACUUGAGAUAAUUGUCAGAUCUGCUACUCCAUUUAGAGAUUUGUCAUUUUUGCCAUGAUUAUUGUGUGCAUGAUAUGCCCAUGAGCCCUACAUAUGUUUUGUUAAGGGUUUUACCAUCUUUCCAGAGGUGAAACCCAUUUAUUUUUGUGAUGUGUGUGGUGACCAGCACAAGCUUGCAAAGUGAGGCACUUGGUAAUGCUGAUUUCAGAGACUUAGCAUUUCCACUAAGUCCUUGAGCUGUUUAUCUCAUAUGGCCAUAUGUUCAUGUUGUUUCCUAGUGAUCCGUGCCUCUUUUGAGGGUGAUCAGAAAGGAUGUUUUGUUAAUCUUGUAGUGCUCUAUCCAUCCAUGUCUUUGUUUGCAAUUAUGGAGCACCCUAGCUUGAGUCAAUCGAGCUCUACUUUUGCUACUUCAUGAAUCUGGGCAGAUUGUCUACUUGUUAGCGAUUUUGCCGAGGAUGUUGUAGUUGAUCCGUGCAUGCUAUGCUAUUGUUCUUGCCAUGUCUAGCUUUCAUUUUGUGUAUUCUUGAUGGGUGUUUGCUUAGCUUGUCAUGUCUUGCUCUGUAGUGAGUGCAUCGAGCUCGUAAACAUGCCUACUUGAUAUCUGUUUUCAGCAUGUUCCAAUUUUCACUAAGUCUGAGAACUGAUUAUGUUUUUGCCAUGUUCACAUGCUUGCAAUUGUAUUUUCUGAUCCCUUUUGGCUCAAGGUCACUAAGGGACUUUUGUUAAUCUCUUUGAGUAGCUCCACGCCAUGCUUUACUUUGCCAUGUUCAGGUCCUGUAGCAUGUAGUUUUGUUGCUCCAAAGAGUGCUAUCUGAUCUGAAAUUCCAGACAAGUGUUAAUUUCACUAAGUCUGAAAUCUGUUUACCAUAUGCAUUUUUGCCAUGCUUGUUUGAACCUGUUAAUGGAUGAAUUGGCCAUAGCUCAGUGCUAGACUUUUGUUAAGCAUCAUGAAUGCAUCCCUGCCAUGUAUUUUGUUGCCAUGUUUGGGUGCUGUAGCUUGUUCAUCUCAUUGCAUUUAGAUGACUUGCUGUAAAUCGCAGACCGGUGCCAUAUUUGAAUCGCUUGCCGUUCCCAAACCGUAACUCCGAUUCCGGCGUUCUUUAUAUCAUUUUCAAGCGAUUUCAUCUCAUCUUUCCAGUGGCACACUUGGAUUUCCAAGUUGAGGCCAGGUUCAUGCAUCCCUUGUCAAAUCUUGCAUAUACUUCCCGCAUCGCAUCCCGCAUAGCAUACCAUCUUUGCAUCAUAUUGUUUGACCCUUGCACGUGGUUGAUUGUGUUUCGUUUGCUGUUUGUCUUGUUUGGGUAGAGCCGGGAGACAAGUUCGCUAACGAGGAGCCCGUUGAGUUUGCUUUCGAGGAUCCAGUCAAUCCUGACAACUUUGCAGACAAGAUGAUCAUACCCUCGAAAUCACUACUAUCUUUGCUUUGCUAGAUGCUCGCUCUUUUGCCAUGCCAAUGCUACGAUGCCUACCACUUGCUUUCAAGCCUCCCAAAUUGCCAUGUCAAACCUCUAACCCACCAUGUCCUAGCAAACCGUUGAUUGGCUAUGUUACCGCUUUGCUCAGCCCCUCUUAUAGCGUUGCUAGUUGCAGGUGAAGAUUGGAGACCGUUCCUUGUUGGAACAUUUAUUUACUUGUUGGGAUAUCAUUAUAUUAUCUUGUUACCUUAAUGCAUCUAUAUACUUGGUAAAGGGUGGAAGGCUCGGCCUCUCGCCUAGUGUUUUGUUCCACUCUUGCCGCCCUAGUUUCCGUCAUAUCGGUGUUAUGUUCCCGGAUUUUGCGUUCCUUACGCGGUUGGGUUAUAAUGGGAACCCCUUGAUAGUUCGCCUUGAUUAAAGCUGUUCCAGCAAUGCCCAACCUUGGUUUUACCAUUUGCCACCUAGCCUCUUUUUCCCUUGGGUUUCCGAAGCCCGAGGGUCAUCUUAUUUAAACCCCCGGGCCAGUGCUCCUAUGAGUGUUGGUCCAAACUGUCAGCCGCCGGUGGCUACCAGGGGCAACUCUGGGCUGGCCUACCGGUAGUUUAGACAAUCUGAGUGUGCCUUGAGAAAGAGAUAUGUGCAGCUCCUAUCGGGAUUUGUCGGCACAUUCGGGCGGUGUUGCUGGUCUUGUUUUAACCUGUCGAAGUGUCUUGAAGAACCGAGAUACCGAGUCUGAUCGGAACGUCUUGGGAGGAGGUCUAUUCCUUCGUUGACCAUGAGAGCUUGUCAUGGGCUAAGUUGGGACUCCCCUGCAGGGAUUUGAACUUUCGAAAGCCAUGCCCGCGGUUAUGGGCAGAUGGGAAUUUGUUAAUGUCCGGUUGUAGAUAACUUGAACCUUAAUUUAACUAAAAUGAAUCAACUGAGUGUGUUGCCAUGAUGGCCUCUUCUCGGCGGAGUUCGGGAAGUGGACACGGCAUUGGAGUAAUGUUUGCGCAGGUUGCUCUCUAGUUUCUCGCUCGCGCUUUGCCUCCUCUUCUCGCUCUCUUUUGCGAACAGGAUAGCCACCAUAUAUGCUAGUCGCUUGCUGCAGCUCCACAUAUAUUUACCUUGCCUUACCUAUCAGCUUAAAUAGUAUUGAUCGCGAGGGUGUGAGAUUGCUGAGUCCCUGUGGCUCACAGAUUACUAUUACACCAGAUGCAGGGCCUGAUGAUUCCGCUCCAGGUGACGCGCUUGAGCUCAAGUGGGAGUUCGACGAAGACUCUCAACAUUACUAUGUUUCUUUUCCCGAUGAUCAGUAGUGGUGCCCAGUUGGGGGUGAUCGGGACCGUGUCGCAUGUUGGGUUAUCUUUUAUUUUGGCGCCGUAGUCAGGCCAUGAGUGUUUGGGUGAUGUAAUGUUAUGUAUGUACUUGAUUGACGUGGCGAGUGUAAGCCAACUAUGUUAUCUCCCCUUUUAUUAUCUUUAUUACAUGGGAUGUUGUGAAGAUUGCCUAACUUGCGACAUAUGCCUUCAAUGCGAUUAUGCCUCUAAGUCGUGCCUCGACACGUGGGAGAUAUAGUCGCAUCGAGGGUGAUACAAGUUGGUAAUCAGAGCCUUCCCCGACCUUAGGAGCCCCAUUGCUUGAUCAUUUUUAGCAGCCGAGUUGUGUCUAGAAAAAUGUUUUGAGUCAUUUAGGAAUUAUAUAUCGGAGAGUUUAGGAAUUAUUUUUACUUCCCAGUCUCCUCAUCGCUCUGGUAAGGCAUCCUGACAUAGAGUUUUGACUCUUCUCUUCUCAAAUUUCACUAAAUUUUUUUAGGAUCACGCAGGUAUCUUGGAAUCGUUCUGAUGGUUUUAUGACGAGAACAUUGUCUUGGUGCCUCCUGUCAGGGGUUUUGUGGAAGUGUCCCGAGGAGUUGAGCUCUGAGAUAUUGUCGUCAUAAUUUUAUCGUUGCAGUUCUGGAAUACCUGAGUUUAGUACGCCGACAUCGAAAAUCUCUUUUAUGCAGUUCGUUGGUGAGAUAACCUCGAUGCCACCCAGUACUGGGGCGGGAGUUCGGGAGUAUCACCAUAACUUUGUAUAACAUAUGCUUUUCGAAGGUUGAGGUAGAUGGUUUCCGAAGUUUUUCUCGGUUAUGUGUUGAAGGAUGGAUACAGCUGGAUGUAGGAUUUGAUAGAAUUGGGUGAGAUAUUAUGCUUCCCCUGUAUCCCCAACACCUGAUUGCAUAACUGGAAAGGUUCGGGAGUUUCAUAGGUGGGAAUUCUUGUAGCUCUAGUUCUUCUUCCACGGAUAUUGGUUUGAGAUUGGGAUUUCUUACCGAUUAUUCGUUCUUGAUCCGUACCUUGUUGAUUUAUUUCUCUACCUUAAUUCUAAGUGGCUUCUCAAUUUAUGGAUAUGUGACCAUUUCAAGAGGAAUGCAUUCGUUCAUUUUGUUCGGAUGUGAAGACUAUAUGUUGCAAUUUUCAUUCCGUUGGAUUCAGCUUCAAUAUUUGUCUAUCAAUGUGCUAAUGGAUGUCAACCUCUUCAGGAUGGCUCCUCCAACGCGCACGACUCCGAAUCCUGAUCCGCCACCACCUCCACCUCCUCCGGAGGCAUGGCAAGCUGUGAUGUCCGCAGCCAAUGCAAACACACAGUUGAUCAUGCAAAUUCUCCAAGAGCGCAAUCAAGGCAACCAAGGGAACCAAGGCAACAAUCAGAAUCACUAUGCUACACUCAACCAGUUCCUUGCUAACGGGCCAAAGUCUUUCAGCAACUGUGUUGAGGCAACCGAUGCUGAGGAUUGGCUUGUGGAUCUGUGCAAGCAUUUCGAGUGCAGUAACGUCAGGCCUGAGGACUUUGUCAAGUUCGCUUCCUUCCAACUCAAAGAUCAAGCUGCAGAAUGGUUCCAGCAGUACAAGGAUUCCAGAGGUGGAUGUGUUAUCACUUGGGAUGAAUUCCGUUGAGAUUUCAGAGCUCAUCAUAUUCCUCAGAGCAUGGUUGAAAGCAAGCAUGAGGAAUUCCGCAACCUGAAGCAAGGAUCUUUGUCUGUCUAUGACUACAACAAGUUGUUCCAGAAGCUCGCCCGUUUUGCUAAGCAGGACGUACCUGAUGAGAAGAGCAUGAUAUACCAGUUCAGGGGUGGUCUCAGAGAAGAAAUUCAGCUAGCUCUUGUUCUCUUUGAGCCCUUGAGGUACGAUGAGUUCUACAACAUGGCAUUGAAGCAAGAGGCCGCUCAAUUGAGGUGUGAUGCUUCCAAGAAGCGAGUCAGAGAUGUUAUUCCUUCUUCCUCUACUCAAGUGGCCAAGCAGCAGAAGUAUUGGCUUCCUCCUCCUCCAUUUCGUUAGCCGUAUCAGCAGAAGAGCAAAGGUGGCAGUGGAUCUUCCCACCCACCCAACCUUGGAUUUCAGAACAAGACUUCGUCUCAAGCUCCAAGAUCGAGUGCUCCGUAUCACCGUCCGCUUUCAGAGGUCACGUGCAACAAGUGCCAACAGAAGGGUCACUAUGCCAACAAGUGUUUCAACUAGAGGCGUCUUCCUCCUCCUCCUCCUGUGAGAUCGGCAAGUACAGCUAUGGUCAAGCAUAACCCCAAGUACGCCAAGGUCAAUAUGGUGAAUGCAGCUCAGGCAGAUGAUUCAUCAGAUGUCAUCAUGGGUAACCUUUCUGUUAACAAUGUUCCUGCAAGAGUUCUUUUUGACAUUGGUGCAUCGCAUUGUUUUAUCUCGAGUCCUUUUGCAUCUAAGCAUGGGUGGUUUUCUCAAGUUAUGCAUAAGCCAUUAGCAGUUGUCUCUCCGGGUAGAUGCUUGCUUGCUAACUACGAAGUUCCGGAUAUUUAUAUCUCGAUGGGUGAUUUCAAGUUUCUGGCUUCUCCAAUGAUCCUUGGUAACUCGGAUAUUGAUCUUAUUCUCGGAAUGGAUUGGCUUUCUAAGCACAAGGCUGUGCUUGAUUGUGCAGCCAGGCUGAUUCAAUUGACUCAUUCAUCUGAGGAUGUAAUUGUCUUUGCUGCUCGGGAUAAUACUAUCCGUCUGUUUUCUCUCAAUAAGAAGGGUGAACUCGAUGCCAUCUCGCAAAUUCCAGUCGUUUGCGAAUAUCAAGACGUCUUUACAGAAGAGCUUCCAGGAAUGCCUCCUCACUGGCCAGUUGAAUUCGUCAUUGAUCUUGAGCCCGGCACGAAACCUGUGUGCAAAUGUCCUUACAAGAUCGGACCUGAAGAGUUGAAGGAGCUGAAGAAGCAACUCGAUAUUCAUGAGAAAAUGGGUCUCAUCCGGCCUAGUUCUUCUCCGUGGGGUUGUGGUGUACUUUUUGUGAAGAAGAAGGAUGGAACGGACCGACUUUGUGUUGAUUACCGUCCAUUGAACAAGAAGACCAUCAAGAACAAAUACCCACUUCCCAACAUCAAUGAGCUGUUCGAACAACUCAAAGGUGCCCAAGUAUUCUCCAAGCUUGAUCUCCGUAUGGGUUAUCAUCAGAUUCGAAUCCGUGAGCAAGAUAUUCCCAAGAUGGCUUUCAGGACAAGCUAUGGUUCAUAUGAAUACACUGUCAUGUCUUUUGGCCUCGUCAACGCUCCUCCGACUUUCUCUCGUGUGAUGAACUUCAUCUUCAACGCCUACACCAAUGACUUCGUUUUGGUCUAUCUCGACGACAUUCUGGUUUUCUCGAAGAACAAGGAAGAUCAUGCCAAGCACUUGCGUUUGGUACUCGAUAAGCUGAGGGAACACAAGUUCUACGCCAAGUUCUCCAAUUGUGAAUUUUGGCUCGAUGAGGUUCUUUAUCUUGGUCAUAUCAUCUCUGCCAAGGGCAUGGCCGUGAAUCCUGAGAAGGUGUCUGCAAUUGUGAAUUGGGAACCUCCUCAGAACGUGAAGCAACUCCGUAGCUUCCUCGGUCUCACAAGCUGUUGUCGAAGAUUCGUUGAAAACUUUUCCAAGAUCGUGAAGCCUCUCUCUAAUCUUCUCCAGAAGCACGUCAAGUACGUUUGGUCUCCGGAGUGUGACAUUGCUUUCAACACUUUGAAAGAGAAAUUGAUCACUGCUCCAAUUCUCACUCCGCCUGAUGAAUCCAAGCCGUACGAGGUCUUUUGUGAUGCCUCUCUCCAAGGUCUUGGCGCAGUAUUGAUGCAAGAGAAGAAAGUUGUUGCUUAUACCUCUCGCCAGUUGAAGCCUAAUGAGAAGAACUACCCCACUCAUGAUCUCAUAAGAGUCUCAAGUACAUCUUCACUCAGCCUAAUCUCAACCUCAGGGUAACUCGAUGGGUCGAAAUGAUUCAAGAGUAUAAUCCGAGUAUCGAGUAUACACCAGGCAAGGCCAAUGUGAUUGCCGACGCAUUGAGCAGAAAGGCUUACUGCAACAGUCUGAUUCUCAAGCCUUAUCAACCCGAGCUUUGUGAAGCUUUCCGCAAACUUAAUCUGCAAGUUGUUCCUCAAGGUUUCCUCACCAACCUUCAAGUCUCUCCUACCUUGGAAGACCAGAUUCGCCAAGCCCAGCUUCUUGAUGCUAUGGUGAAAAAGGUGAAGAUUGGGAUUGUCAAGAGUCAACCCAAGUACAAGUGCUACCACCUUGAUGACAAGGACACUCUCUUCUUCGAGGAUCGUAUUGUUGUACCCAAAGGUGACCUCGGUAAAGUGAUCAUGAACGAGGCUCACAAUUCCCUCCUCUCCAUCCACCCUGGGAGCACGAAGAUGUAUCAGGACCUUAAGCAGGCUUAUUGGUGGACUCGAAUGAAGCGCGAGAUUGCUCAGUUCGUGAAUGAAUGUGAUGUCUGCAGAAGAGUGAAGGCAGAACACCAAAGGCCAGCAGGUCUCCUCCAACCUCUUGUCAUUCCAGAAUGGAAGUUUGACCACAUUGAAAUGGACUUCGUGACUGGGUUUCCAAAGUCCAGGCGUGGAAAUGAUGCUAUAUUUGUUGUCAUCGACAAACUCACUAAAGUGGCUCAUUUUCUGCCUAUCAAAGAGUCGAUCACUGCAGCUCAAUUGGCGGAACUCUAUACCUCUCGGAUUGUCUCUCUGCACGGUAUUCCACAAGUGAUCUCUUCAGACCGUGGCAGUAUCUUUACAUCCAAGUUUUGGGUUUCUUUUCAGAAGGCCAUGGGCACCAACAUCCGCUUCAGCACAACUUUCCAUCCUCAAACUAGCGGUCAAGUCGAGUGUGUCAACCAGAUUCUUGAAGAUAUGCUCAGGGCUUGUGUGAUCUCCUUUGGCAUGAAGUGGGAGGACUGUCUUCCUUAUGCUGAAUUCUCCUACAACAACAGUUUUCAAGCAAGUUCGGGCAAGGCCCCAUUUGAAAUUCUGUAUGGCAGGAAGUGCCGUACCCCUCUCAACUGGUCUAAAACCGGCGAAUGUCAGCUUUUGGGUAAUGACUUAAUCAUAGAGGCAGAGGAAAUGUGCAAAGUCAUUCGAAAUAACCUCAAAGCAUCCCAAUCCCGCCAGAAGAGCUACUAUGAUAGUAAGCACCAUGAUUUGGCUUUCGAGAUCGGAGAUCAUGUGUACCUCCACGUCUCUCCUAUGAAAGUUACUCGUCGCUUCGGUAUCAAAGGCAAGCUUGCCCCCAGAUACGUGGGACCUUUCAAGAUUGUCAGCAAGAGAGGCGACCUCGCCUAUCAACUCGAGCUUCCUUCAAACUUUGCAAAUGUUCAUGAUGUGUUCCAUGUCUCUCAGCUCCGAAAGUGCUUCAAGACUCCUGACCGCACCGUCAACUUCGAGGACAUUGAGCUCCAGGAAGAUCUCUCUUAUCGUGAGCACCCAGUUGCUAUUCUUGAAGAGACUGAACACAAGACUCGCAAUAAGUCAAUCAAAUUUCUCAAAGUCAAGUGGUCACACCAUUCCGACCAUGAAGCUACCUGGGAACGCGAGGAUCACCUCCGUUCUAAGUACCCGGCGUUCUUUCAGUCCUAGAUCUCGGGACGAGAUCCUUUCGUAGUGGUGGAGUGCUGUAACACCCCGGAUGUAACUUUCCCAAUUUGUACUCCAACUCUUGCCGUUUCCGGCGUUAAGUUAUUUUAUUUUCUCGGGUUCGGGUUUUUGUCUCCGUGUGUUGUGUCGUUGUCAUGCAUCUCAUAUCAUGUCAUCAUGUGCAUUCGUGUUCAUCUCAUGCAUUCGAACAUUUUUCCCGUUGUUCGUUUUGCAUUCCGGCGCUUCGUUCUCUUCCGGUGGUCAUUUCUACCUUUCUUUCGUGUGUGGGGAUUAAACAUUUCCGGAUUGGAUCGAGACUUGUCAUGCGGCCUGGGUUUACUACCGGUAGACCGACUGUCAAGGUUCGUAUCAUUUGGACUUCGUUUGAUACUCCAACGGUCAACCGAGGGACCGAAAAGGCCUCGUGUGUGUUGCAGCCCAACACCCCUCCAUUUUGGCCCAAAACCCACCAAAACCCUCUCCAUCAUCUAGAGCAUUCCAUCACGAUCGCGUGGCCGAAAACCGCACCUCAUUUGGACUCUCCUAGCUCCUUCUACCUAUAAAAAGGCAUCCCCUCUCGAAAUUCGCGGAUCUCCUCUCUCCCAAACCCUAAAAAUCCCCUCGCGCCGCCGCUGGACACGUCCAUCCUGGACGGACAAAUCCGCCGCCGCCGUCCGCGCCAACCGAGGAGAGCCCCCGUGGCCCGGGUCUCCGCCGCCGCCGCCCGACCCUUCUCCUUCCUCCCGCGCCGCUCGCCGGCUCCCCGCCGUCACCGCGCCGGCGCCGCGCCUUCAUAGCUCCGCCGCCUCGCCAUCACCACCCGGAGCCGCCGCGCCACCUCGACGCCGGCCCUCGCCGCCCCGGUCACCGUCGCCUCGGCGCCCGUCCUCGCCGCUGCCCCCAUGGCCAGAUCCGGCGACCGCCCCCCCUCUCCGACGAAGUCCCGGCCGACUCCGGCGAGAUCAGCCACCGCCUCGGCUUCCGUGCACCGUUGACUUUUAUCUCGAGGUGGUUUUUUUUCUUCUAAGUCCUCAAAUCUCAGAUCCAUAUGCUCCUAUUCAUCGUGUCGUAUCUCCUCAUCCGUAGAUCCGAUUUGGGCAUAUAGCAUAUCAAAAUGUUCAUCUCAGAGAGUACAUCAUUUCAUUCCAUUGCAUCAUUUUCAUCUGAGUUCAUCUUGAUGCCCGGAAUGCUGUUAGAAGAGGGCUACUUGAGAUAAUUGUCAGAUCUACUACUCCAUUUAGAGAUUUGUCAUUUUUGCCAUGAUUAUUGUGUGCAUGAUAUGCCCAUGAGCCCUACAUAUGUUUUGUUAAGGGUUUUACCAUAUUUCCAGAGGUGCAACCCAUGUAUUUUUGUGAUGUGUGUGGUGACCAGCACAAGCUUGCAAAGUGAGGCACUUGGUAAUGCUGAUUUCAGAGACUUAGCAUUUCCACUAAGUCCUUGAGCUAUUUAUCUCAUAUGGCCAUAUGUUCAUGUUGUUUCCUAGUGAUCCGUGCCUCUUUUGAGGGUGAUCAGUAAGGAUGUUUUUUUAAUAUUGUAGUGCUCUAUCCAUCCAUGUCUUUUUUUGCAAUUAUGGAGCACCCUAGCUUGAGUCAAUCGAGCUCUACUUUUGCUACUUCAUGAAUCUGGGCAGACUGUCUACUUGUUAGCGAUUUUGUUGAGGAUGUUGUAGUUGAUCCGUGCAUGCUAUGCUAUUGUUCUUGCCAUGUAUAGCUUGCAUUUUGUGUAUUCUUGAUGGGUGUUUGCUUAGCUUGUCAUGUCUUGCUCUGUAGUUAGUGCAUCGAGCUCGUAAACAUGCCUACUUGAUAUCUGUUUUCUAGUGAUCCGUGCCUCUUUUGAGGAUGAUCAGUAAGGAUGUUUUGUUAAUCUUAUAGUGCUCUAUCCAUCCAUGUCUUUGUUUGCAAUUAUGAAGCACCCUAGCUUGAGUCAAUCGAGCUCUAUUUUUGCUAUUUCGUGAAUCUGGGCAGACUGUCUACUUGUUAGCGAUUUUGCCGAGGAUGUUGUAGUUGUUCCGUGCAUGCUAUGUUAUUGUUCUUGCCAUGUCUAGCUUGAAUUUUGUGUAUUCUUGAUGGAUGUAUGCUUAGUUUGUCAUGACUUGCUCUGUGGUGAGUGCAUCGAGCUCGUAAACAUGCCUACUUGAUAUCUAUUUCAGCAUGCUCCAGUUUUCACUAAGUCUGAGAACUGAUUGUGUUUUUGCCAUGUUCACAUGCUUGCAAUUGUAUUUUCUGAUCCCUUUUGGCUUAAGGUCACUAAGGGACUUUUGUUAAGUUCUUUGAGUAGCUCCAUGCCAUGCUUUACUUUGCCAUGUUCAGGUCCUGUAGCAUGUAGUUUUGUUGCUCCAAAGAGUGCUAUCUGAUCUGAAAUUCCAGACAAGUGUUAAUUUCACUAAGUCUGAAAUCUGUUUACCAUAUGCAUUUUUGCCAUGCUUGUUUGAACCUGUUAAUGGAUGAAUUGGCCAUAGCUCAGUGCUAGACUUUUCUUAAGCAUCAUGAAUGCAUCCCUGCCAUGUAUUUUGUUGCCUUGUUUGGGUGCUGUAGCUUGUUCAUCUCAUUGAAUUUAGAUGACUACUUGCUGUAAAUCGCAGACCGGUGCCAUAUUUGAAUCGCUUGCCGUUCCCAAACCGUAACUCCGAUUCCGGCGUUCUUUAUAUCGUUUUCAAGCAAUUUCAUCUCAUCUUUCCAUUGGCACACUUGGAUUUCCAAGUUGAGGCCAGGUUCAUGCAUCCCUUGUCAAAUCUUGCAUAUGCUUCCCGCAUCGCAUCCCGCAUAGCAUACCAUCUUUGCAUCAUAUUGUUUAAUCCUUGCACGUGGUUGAUUGUGUUCCGUUUUCUGUUGGUCUUGCUUGGGUAGAGCCGGGAGACGAGUUCUCUAAUGAUGAGCCCGUUGAGUUUGCUUUCGAGGAUCCAGUCAACUCUGACAACUUUGCAGGCAAGAUGAUCAUACCCUCGAAAUCACUACUAUCUUUGCUUUGCUAGAUGCUCGCUCUUUUGCCAUGCCAAUGCUAGGAUGCCUACCACUUGCUUUCAAGCCUCCCAAAUUGCCACGUCAAACCUCUAACCCACCAUGUCCUAGCAAACCGUUGAUUGGCUAUGUUACCGCUUUUCUCAGCCCCUCUUAUAGCAUUGCUAGUUGCAGGUGAAGAUUGGAGACCGUUCCUUGUUGGAACAUUUAUUUACUUGUUGGGAUAUCAUUAUAUUAUCUUGUUACCUUAAUGCAUCUAUGUACUUGGUAAAGGGUGGAAGGCUCAGCCUCUCGCCUAGUGUUUUGUUCCACUCUUGCCGCCCUAGUUUCCGUCAUAUCGGUGUUAUGUUCCCGGAUUUUGCGUUCCUUACGCGGUUGGGUUAUAAUGGGAACCCCUUGAUAGUUCGCCUUGAUUAAAGCUUUUCCAGCAAUGCCCAACCUUGGUUUUACCAUUUGCCACCUAGCCUCUUUUUCCCUUGGGUUUCGGGAGCCCGAGGGUCAUCUUAUUUAAACCCCCCCGGGCCAGUGCUCCUCUGAGUGUUGGUCCAAACUGUCAGCCGCCGGUGGCUACCAGGGGCAACUCUGGGCUGGCCUACCGGAAGUUUAGACAAUCUGAGUGUGCCCUGAGAAAGAGAUAUGUGCAGCUCCUAUCGGGAUUUGUCGGCACAUUCGGGCGGUGUUGCUGGUCUUGUUUUAACCUGUCGAAGUGUCUUGAAGAACUGAGAUACCGAGUCUGAUCGGAACGUCUUGGGAGGAGGUCUAUUCCUUCGUUGACCGUGAGAGCUUGUCAUGGGCUAAGUUGGGACUCUCCUGCAGGGAUUUGAACUUUCAAAAGCCGUGCCCGCGGUUAUGGGCAGAUGGGAAUUUGUUAAUGUCCGGUUGUAGAUAACUUGAACCUUAAUUUAACUAAAAUGAAUCAAUUGAGUGUGUUGCCGUGAUGGCCUCUUCUCGGCGGAGUUCGGGAAGUGGACAUGGUGUUGGAGUAAUGUUUGCGCAGGUUGCUCUCUAGUUUCUCGCUCGCGCUUUGCCUCCUCUUCUCGCUCUCUUUUGCGAACAGGAUAGCCACCAUAUAUGCUAGUCGCUUGCUGCAGCUCCACAUAUAUUUACCUUGCCUUACCUAUCGGCUUAAAUAGUCUUGAUCGCGAGGGUGCGAGAUUGCUGAGUCCCUGUGGCUCACAUAUUACUAUUACACCAGAUGCAGGGCCUGAUGAUUCCGCUCUAGGUGACGCGCUUGAGCUCAAGUGGGAGUUCGACAAAGACUCUCAACGUUACUAUGUUUCUUUUCUUGAUGAUCAGUAGUGGUGCCCAGUUGGGGGUGAUCGGGACCGUGUCGCAUGUUGGGUUAUCUUUUAUUUUGGCGCCGUAGUCGGGCCAUGAGUGUUUGGGUGAUGUAAUGUUAUUUAUGUACUUUAUUGACGUGGCGAGUGUAAGCCAACUAUGUUAUCUCCCCUUUUAUUAUCUUUAUCACAUGGGAUGUUGUGAAGAUUGCCUAACUUGCGACAUAUGCCUUCAAUGCGAUUAUGCCUCUAAGUCGUGCCUCGAUACGUGGGAGAUAUAGUCGCAUCGAGGGUGUUACAAUAUAGCUUUGUAUUUAUCUCCGAUCUAUUGAUUUGGUUUGGCCAACUAGAUUGAUCUUUCUUGCAAUGGGAGAGGUGCUUUGUGAUGGGUUCAAUCUUGCAGUGUCCUCACACAGUGACAAUAGGGGUAGCGAGGCAUAUAUUAUAUUUUUGCCAUUAGGGAUACAAAGAUGGAGUUUUUUUACCAUAUUGAUUGUAUCUAUCUACUUCAUGUCAUCUUGCUUAAGGCGUUACCACAUUUUUGUUAACUUAAUACACUAUAUGCAUGCUGAAUAGCGGUCAAUGUGUGGAGUAAUAGUAGUAGAUGCAGGCAGGAGUCAGUCUACUUGUCACGCACGUGGUGCCUAUAUUCAUGAUCAUUGCCUUAGAUAUCAUCAUAACUUUGCGCUUUUCUAUCAAUUGCUCAACAAUAAUUUGUUCACCUACCGUAUGUGUUCUUUCAAGAGAGAAGCCUCUAGUGAAAACCAUGGCCCUUGGGUCUAUUUCUCAUCAUACAUUUUCAGAUUUAUAAAACCAAAAAUACAAAAAUACCUUGCUGCAAUUUAUUUACCUUUACUUUAUUUUGCCUUUUUAUUUAUCUUUUAUACCUAUCUCUAUCAGAUCUCAUCCUUGCAAGUAACCGUGAAGGGAUCGACAACACCUUUAUCGCGUUGGGUGCAAGUAUUUGUUUGUUUGUGUAUGUGCUAUUAUCAGAGACUUGCGUGUACCUCCUACCGGAUUGAUAUCUCAGUUCUUAACUGAGGGAAAUACUUAUCUCUACUUUGCUGCAUCACCCUUUCCUCUUCAAGGGAAAAACCAAUGCAAACUCAAGAAGUAGCAGGAAGAAUUUCUGGCGCUGUUUCAGGGGAGGUUCUACAUCAAGCCUACCAAGUACCUACCAUAAACUCUCAUCUCUUGCACUUACAUUAUUUGCCAUUUGCCUCUCAUUUGCCUCUCGUUUUCCUCCCCCACUUCUAAAACAUUUUUAGAGAAACACAAAAAUAUUUGCCUUUUUCGUUUGCCUUUAUGUCUUACUUGGUUUGUUUGCUCGUUUGCUUGGCAUAAUUGCAUAUUUAUUCCAAAUUAGAAACCAAAAAGUUUAUGGAUUCUCAUCCACUUGCUAAUAUUUUUAAAAGAUCCAAUUAUGAUGAAUCAAUUGCUAGUGAGUUGAGUGCACUAGAUUAUCUUUAUGAAUUUUUUCUUGAAAUUCGUGAAUUUGAAAAUUGUGAUGAAGUGUUAAAAGAAGAAAUUUAUGAAGUGAUUCAUGAUAGCUCCUUGAAAGAAAAGCAUGAUUGCAAUGAUGUUACUAUAAAUUCUAUUAAUGUCAAUUGUGCUAAUAAUAUGCAAAACCCCAAGCUUGGGGAUGCUAGUUUUGCUAUGUCCGCUACUUAUUGCAAUGAUCAUGAUUGGGGUGAUAAUGCUUCUUAUGAUCUUGAAAUUUUAUUUAAACCUCAUGAUGAAUAUGUUUGCGAUAAUAUUGAAAGUGGGUUUGGAAGAGUGUAAACUCUAGGUAAAAUAAUCCCACAUAUUUGGAGAGUGUUCAGUCUUAUGAUAUUUUUGAUAAAAGUGGGCUUGGAGAGGUCAUGCCUCUAUUUGAUAAUCCCACUAUUGUGGAAGUGUGUCAACUUUGCAUGCAUGUGGAUCAUGUAGAGAAUAUGAUAUGUGAUAGCUAUAUUGUUGAAUUUGAAUAUGAUCCCACAUGUAAUUAUUAUGAGAGAGAGAAAUAUGGUUGUAGAAAUUUUCAUGUUACUAAGUUACCUCUUGUUAUGUUGAGAUUUCUCAUGUUUCUUUCUUCUUCUUGCAUAUGCUAGUUUUUGCUUGUCUUGAUAAAUAUGUUCCCUAUAAAAUGCCUAUUCAUAGGAAGUAUGUUAUACUUAAACUUGUUUUUCACAUACUAUAUGAUGCUCUAUUUGUGCUUCAGUUUUUGUCUUUCAUAUGGGCAUCAUUAAAAUUAUCAACACCUAGCUAAAAGGCUUUAAAGAAAAGUGCUUUCUUUUUUGUUUUUAUGUGUUUAUGCAAUUAUACUUCUGUAAUAAUUGUGUGUUAGUGUUUUAAUUAGUGUUUGAGCCAAGUAAGACCUUUGGGAUACUUUGGUAUAUCGUUGAUUUGAUUUUGCUGAAAACAAGCACUUUUGCGUCCAGUAGCAGAAUUGUUAAAAUUCACUAGAGCAUGGAAAAACUCUGAAUUAUUUACACAAGAUUGACAUAUGAAUUUCCUAUUUUCUCCCAAUUUUUCAGAAGUUUUGGAGUUACAGAAGUAUGACUAUAAUUCUGGUCUUUACAGUCUGUUCUGUUUUUGCUUUAUUGUUUGCUUAUUUUGAUGAAUCUUCAGGUAGUAUCGGGGGGGGGGGGGUAUGAACCAUGGAAGUUAGAAUAUAGUAGAUAUUAUAGAAAUAUGAUAUUGGAAUGAGUUCACAACAGUACUUAAAAGUGGAGAUUUGUUUUAUCAUACUAACGGAUCUCAUGAGUUUUUUGUUGAGUUUUGUGUUGUGAAGUUUCCAAGUUUUGGGUAAAGAUUUGACGGACUACAAAAUAAGGAGUGGCAAGAGCCUAAGCUUGGGGAUGCCCAACGCACCCCAUGGAAAUACUCAAGGACAACCAAGCAUCUAAGCAUGGGGAUGCCCCGGAUGGCAUCCCCCCUUUUGUCUUCAAUCCAUGAGUAAAUUACUUGAGGCUAUAUUUUUAUUCACCACAUGAUAUGUGUUUUGCUUGAAGCAUCUUGUAUUAUACGAUUCUUUGCUUUUUAAUUUUCCACAAUCAUCCUUGCUGAACACACCUUUUGAGAGGGACACACAUUAAUCAUGAACUUAUUAGAAUACUCUACGUGCUUCACUUAUAUCUUUUGAGCUAGGUAGUUGCUCUAGUGCUUCACUUAUAUCUUUUUAGAGCAUGGCGGUGGUUUUAUUUUGUAGAAAUUAAUGAACUCUCAUGCUUCACUUAUAUUAUUUUGAGAGUCUUAAACAUAGUAUGGAAAUUUGCUUAGGUUAUGAAUUUAGUCCUAAUAUGAUGGGUAUCCAAGAGGGAUAUAAUAAAAACUUUUACGAAGAGCAUUGAAUAUAUGAGAAGUUUGAUUCCUUCCAUUUGUUUUGAGAUAUAAAGAUGGUGAUAUUAGAGUCAUGCUAGGGAGUAAUUUUGGAUUAGUAAGAAUAUUUGUGUUAAGGUUUGUGAUUCCCAAAGCAUGCACGUAUGGUCUCCCGUGAUGCAAUGAAGUUAGAGCAUGAUUUAUUUUUGAUUGUCUUCCAUAUGAGUGGCAGUCGGGGAAGAGCGAUGGUCUUUUCCCACUGAUCUAUCCCCCUAGGAGCAUGCGUAUUAGUACUUUGCUUCGAUGGCUAAUAAAUGCAAUAAGUAUGUGAGUACUUUAUGACUAAUGUUGAGUCCAUGGAUUAUACACACUCUCACCCUUCCAGCAUUGCUAGCCUCUCUAGUAUCGCACAACUUUCGCCGAUGCAUUAAACCCACCGUAUACCUUCCUCAAAAUGGCCACCAUACCUACCUAUUCUGGCAUUCCCAUAGUCAUUCCAGGAUAUAUUUGCCAUGCAACUUCCAUCAUUCCGUUUAUUAUGACAUGCACCAUCAUUGUCAGAUUGCUUUGCAUGAUCGUAAGAUAGCUAGCAUGAUAUUUUCAUAGCUUGUCCAUUUUUUGUAUAUCUUUGCUACGCUAGAUCAUUGCACAUCCCGGUACACUGCCGGAGGCAUUCACAUAGAGUCAUAUACUUGUUCUAGUACCGAGUUGUAAUUCUUGAGUUGUAAGUAAAUAAAAGUGUGAUGAUCAUCAUUAUUAGAGCAUUGUCCCAUGUGAGGAAAGGAUGAUGGAGGCUAUGAUUCCUUCACAAGUUCGGAUGAGACUCCGGACACAAAAUUAAGAAAAGAGGGCAAAGAGCCCAAAAUAAAAAAAUAGGCCAAAGAGCCCCCAUGUAACGCCCUCGAUGCGGCUAUAUCUCCCACAUGUCGAAGCACGACUUAGAGGCAUAACCGCAUUGAAAGCAAUGUCGCAAGUGAGGUAAUCUUCACACAACCCAUGUAAUACAUAAGGGAAAAAGAUACAUAGUUGGCUUACAAUCGCCACUUCACACAAAUACAUGAAUAAAGCAUUACAUCAUCCAAAUACAAUCAGGGCCCGACUACGGAGCCAAAAUAAAAGAAGACUACCCCAAAAGCGACAAGGUCCCCGAUCGACCCCAACUGGGCUCCACUACUGAUCAACUAGAACGAAACAACACAAAGGACAAGAUCUUCACCGAGCUCCUCCAUGAGCUUGGUUGCGUCAUCUGCACGGUUCAAUGGCAUCUGCAAGCUGGUUUUGGAAGUAUCUGUGAGUCACGGGGACUCAGCAAUCUCGCACCCUCGCGAUCAAGACUAUUUAAGCUUAUAGGAAGGGUAAAAGGUAUGAGGUGGAGCUGCAGCAAGCGACUAGCAUAUAUGGUGGCUAACAUAUACGCAAAAGAGAGCGAGAAGAGAAGGUAAAGCACGAUCGAGAAACUAUGAUCAAGAAGUGAUCCUAGAACAACUUACGUCAAACAUAACUCCAACACCGUGUCACUUCCCGGACUCCACCGGAAAGAGACCAUCACGGUUACACACGCGGUUGAUGUAUUUUAAUUAAGGUCAACUUCAGGUUUUCUACAACCGGACGUUAACAAAUUCCCAUUUGCCCAUAACCACGGGCACAACUUUCAAAAGUUCAAAUCCCUGCAGGGGUGUCCCAACUUAGCCCAUCACAAGCUCUCACGGUCAACGAAGGAUAUUCCUUCUAGCGGGAAGACCCGAUCAGACUCGGAAUCCCGGUUACAAGACAUUUCGACAAUGAUAAAACAAGACCAGCAAAGCCACCCAGAUGUGCCGACAAAUCCCGAUAGGAGCUGCACAUAUCUUGUUCUCAGGGCACACCGGAUGAGCCAGACGUCGGGUGGGCCAGCCCGGAGUUGCCCCUGGUAGCUCCGGACAUCGCUCAGUUGGACCAACACUUAGAGAAGCACUGGCCCGGGGGGUUAAAAUAAAGAUGACCCUCGGGAUGUGCGACUCCCAAGGGAAAAAGGCUAGGUGGCGAAUGGUAAAACCAAUGUUGGGCCUUGCUGGAGGAGUUUUAUUCAAGGCAAACUGUCAAGGGGUUCCCAUUAUUACCCAACCGCGUAAGGAACGCAAAAUCCGGGAACAUAACACCGAUAUGAUGGAAACUAGGGCGGCAAGAGUGGAACAAAACACCAGGCAUAAGGCCGAGCCUUCCACCCUUUACCAAGUAUAUAGAUGCAUUAAUUAAAUAAGAUAUAUUGUGAUAUCCCAACAAGUAAACAAUGUUCCAACAAGGAACGAUCUCCAUAUUCCAACAAGGAACAAACUUCAAUCUUCACCUGCAACUAACAACGCUAUAAGAGGGGCUGAGCAAAGUGGUAACAUAGCCAAACAACGGUUUGCUAGGACAAGGUGGGUUAGAGGCUUGGUUCAACAAUAUGGGAGGCAUGAUAAGCAAGUGGUAGGUAUCGCAGCAUAGGCAUAGCAAAAGAGCGAGCAACUAGCAAGCAAAGAUAGAAGUGAUUUCGAGGGUAUGAUCAUCUUGCCUGAGAUCCCGCAAGGAAGAAGAACGAGUCCAUGAAGAAGACAGACGGACGAAGUCGAACGAAUCCUCACAACACGACAUUAUCAGAAAACAACCCGAAGAAGCAACACCGGAAAGAAGCACACAACAUAGUAAACAACCAACACAUCAACAUGGCAUGAUGCACAAUCGAGUAUGAUGCAUGUCCGGUUUAAUGAAGCAUGGCAUGGCAAAGUGCACAAACAAUACUACAAAUUAAUUGGAGCUCAUUAUGCAGCGGAGUUACAUAUUGAAGAAAACACCACAUGACUUAUUUAGUUCUCUCUCGUUUAUGUACCCAUCAAGAUUAAAUGUUGUUAGCAUGGCAAGAGGGUGAAGCAAAUGAAAACUACCUAUCUAGUCAAGUUUAAAUGAGGCCAGAAACAACGAACAACAAUUCUGGAAACUCCUCAUAUGAAUAUAUUAGGUUUGGUACUGUUCUUCCCUAAACAUAAUUUUAGAGUUGUUAAGCAUGCAAAGUGAAGCCACCAUGUUAAACUAGGCAAAAUUCUACCCCAUUUACAUAUAAAGUUUGUUAGAUUCGGAGUUACGGUUAUUUAGUUAUGAAUUAAAGCAUUUUAGCAUGACAUAGGAGCAAAUUUAAACAAACAACAUUUUAAACAUUUUAAACAUGGAUGAAAAUGACAUAUUAUGAAACUAGACACAAUUCUAAGCAAGUUUCAUAUAUAAAAUGUUUUAAUCCGAUGCAUGGUUAUUAAGUUAUUAUAUGCAUGAAGUCCAAGGGUUUUUCUGCAAAUCUGUAAAUCCCUGGUAAAUAGACAAAUCGCAGAACCAAGAAAAAAACAUCCACUGGGCCAUAUCUGAGAUAGACCCAAUAGUGCACAGGGGCUAGAAGGGGCUGCUCACAUUGGGCUCUUGGCCUGGUCGGUGCUGGGUUAGCCUGCUGGCGCAGGACGCGGGCUGCUGGGAUGGGCCGACUUGAGCUGGCCUUGAAGGCCGAAGCGGAAGCAGGCCGGCUGGAUCUGGCUGUGGACUUGCGCUAAGGCCACGCGCUGAUCUGGCCCCAGUGAGCGAUUGAGGCGCUCGUCCUCUGCUCGACAGGGAGCAGAGCAGUGGCGACUGCAGGGAGGUGGAGGUCGCCGGCGCGGGUGGACUCCGGUGAGGUGGGGCGGCGACCUGGAGGUGGGGAUGAGGCUGGGAUCAUAGGGAGGUGCUGGUUGCUGCUAUUCCGGCGGGCAACGGCUUUCAGUCGACGAGGAGGAGGCCAUGAAGACGAUGGGGCUCCUCGGGCUUCCUGGAACUCCGGUGACCAACUGCUCGAGGCAGGAAGGCACGGGCAUGGCUGAGGCCCUGGUGGACUUGGGCGGCGACGGGGCUGGGUACACGAGGUCGCAUCGGAUCUGUUGAAGAUAGCUACGAGCAGAGCAGCGCGGCGACGGGAGCUGCAGGGCCAUGGCGGGGAAAGAAAUUCAGUUAAAAAGGCUGAGAGAAAAGAGAAAGAGAGGACCGAAGGAAGAGCUGGAGGAGGUGAGGCGACCUGGCUGGCGCGGGUGCUCGCAGAGUUCAUCUGGCAGAGCAGGUCGACGGCGGUGGCGCCAUGGGCAGGGGCGGCGGAGCUCGAUUCCUGCAGAGACAUGGGAGGGAGAGAGAGAGAGAGAGCACGCUGUGAGAGAGAUCGAGAGGAAUGACGGAGCACCGGGAAAGAGAAGAAGAAGGGAGGCGGCGGUGCUCAUCUCAGAUGACUUUGAAUCCAAGGGCUCGGGCUCGAGUUCUGGUUGGUGGGAGGAGGAAUGGGAGGAUCCCGAUGAGCGAAGGGAGUUGGUCUGGUGGCGGCGGGGGAAAGGAAGGAUGGGACAAGGUGCCUAGGAUCUAGGGUUGGAUAAUGUAUAUAUAUACAUCACGUGGAUAAGGUUAGGGGCUAUCUGGCCCCUCCGAUCACAAUCGGACGGACGAGAAAAUAUGCUAAAGAGUCCAAUAAAUAAAAUGAUGAUAUUUUGCAGAUGUUUGGGGAUGAUCUGGACACAACGGUGGCGACUGCUUGAGUCGGGUCCGGGACAGUUUCGGACGUGCACGUGAGGGGUUCGAUACACUGUGCAUAGAGGGUUUCAGGGACUGACGGUUGUCAGCGGACUGUGCAGAAGGGAUCGAGCUGAGAGAAGAGAAGAGAGAGAGACCCGACAACUGUUUCUGGAGGCCGAAAACGUUCGACGAUAGACCGGCUAUAUUGCCGCUAUAGUUUAACGGUUGGGCUAUCAAACGAACUCCGAAUGCGAUGAAACUUGGCAGGCGACCUACUAACAACAAAACAACACCGCACGCCAACUUUCAACCCAUUCCGAGAACAUUUUCCAUCCACUUAUAAAAUAAUAUUUCGGACCUGCCGCGGGCGCGUGCAAGUGUGUGUGGGCUCAGAACGGACAACAGACGGAACUCAGAGAACCCGGACGAAUGCAAGUUUUAAAACAUGAUGAUGCAAUGCACAUGAUGCCAUGAUAUGCAAUGCAUGACAUGCAAGCAAAGACAAGGCAAACAACAACGAAUAACUGGAAGACACCUGGCACAUCGGUCUCGGGGUGUUACACCCCAAAAGAAAAAAAAUGAGAAAAAGAGAGAAGGGACAAUGUUAGACGUUUUUUCAACGAUGUGGUCGAUGUCACUCAUGAAGACCAAUACUAUCUUUAGAAAUGCCAAGAAAGCAAACCCCCUUUGAGCAUUCCGAUACAAUCCCACUCUCUCGUUCUUGAUCUCUUUUAUUGCAUUAAGACAACAACGAUUCAACUAUUACAUGUUGCGGUAGUUGAACUCCUUUGCAUGACCUGUCUUUGCCACAGUAAAUAGUUGAAACCCACUAGCAUGAGUAGGAGUUAUUUGAGCCAUGAUGUGCCUACUCAUUCAUGUUUUCUUGUUAUGCCUGCUAUGCUUAGAGUUGUGUUAGGUCUGAUUCAUCUGGGAUGGAUUGGAGUGGUGGUGAACAUGUCCUACUCUUGAGAGCUAAGUGUGUGAACACGAUUUGGUAAAGGUAGCGAUGAGAGGCCAUGUAGGAGUACAUGGUGGGUUGUCUCAUUGAAGCCGUCCUCGGGAAUUGAAUUUCGUGCCUAUGAUCCAAGACAGUUACUACCACACAUUGGGUUCUGGUAACUCGACCAUUCUUGGCUUAUUAAUUGCCUCGAUCUCUGUCCAGGAGUUGCAACUAGUUUUUGGUGUUUGUAGGUUGUGUUAGUAGUCUACCAAGUGGCACUCGAUAUAGGUGGGCUUGGGACAGACUAGGCACCGUGGCCGGGGUACCAAGCAUCACUCAUUUGGUGGGCUUGGAACCCUGUACACAUCCUUUGGGGCCGUAGUGGAAACCCCAGCCGGACUUCCUUGCAGAUGGAACUCGAAUAGGAGAUAAACCUGGACUAGAGACUUGUAUUGUUAGUCAGGUCGUGGCCGACACCCUCGCCAGGCUUACGCUUUAAGGUUGCCAAGAUACAUGAUGUGUACAUGUCAGUAAGUGGCGAGAGCAUGUGUGAAGAAGUACACCCUUGUAGGGUUAACAUGAUCUAUUCGAAUAGCCACGUCCAUAGAUAUGACUACUUUGAACGCUUACAUUGUUCAUAGACAAGUUAAAUGGAUACUCUAAAAUGCACAAGAUAAGUGUGAGUGCUAUGGAUGGUCUUCUCGUAGGGAGACGGGAGCGGAUCCAUAGUGGUGUUUUGAUGUGGUGAAUAUGUGUACUCAUGUGCGCCACCCCAAGAAAUGUCGGGUACAUUUGAUGUGGUAAGUGUUGUUGGGUACAUUUGUACUCAUGUUUGCUUAAUUUAUGUUUUGCAGAGAGACUCAGUCUCACUAGUAGUUCUACGUGGACUUCAAUGAGUAGCUUGUUACCUCAGCGAUAAUAUUGUACCCUUGGGAGGGUCUUAUAGAUAGACAUGCUUUCUAGCCUCCUUUCUUUUUAGGUGUCUGUACUCAGACAUGUUUAUGCUUCUGCAUGUGCUUGUUGCUUGUAUGACUUAGAUGCUGGGUCAUGAGACCCAUGUUUGUAAUAUCUGGCUCCUUGGAGCCUAUUGAAUUAAUACUUUGAGUCAUAGAGUUUUGUUGUGAUGCCAUGUUGUAUUUACACAUAUCGAGCAUAUUAUGUGCAUGUUAUUGAAAUGCUUCGUAUGUGUGGGAUCCGACACCUAGUUGUUUAUUCUUGGUAGCCUUCCUUAUGGGGAAGUGUCUCCUAGUGCUUCCAUUGAGCCAUGGUAGUUCGCUACUGCUCCGAAACACUUAGAUUGGCCGGCAUGUAUCCUUCUUUGUUCAUGCGUCUGUCCCUUCGAUGAAAUGUCACAUGUUGUUCCUUUAAGUCCUUGUAGCUUGCUACGACUUGGGUUCAUACGUUGAUGACCGACACAUUUAUUGCUGGGUUACGUAUGCCUGUCCCUAUAAGUUUGUGCCAGCUUGGGUUUACGACUAGUCAUGUAGGCCCAGGUUCUCUGUCAUAUGGAUGCUAGCGACACAAUCAUAUACAUGAGCCAAAAGGCGCAAACAACCCCGACCAAGGUAAGGCUGCUGCCAUGGGAAUACCGUGUGUGAGGCCGCACAAUGAUAUGAUGUGUUAUGUGCUAGACGGUGUGACUUAGGAUCGCGGUCCCGACAACGCUGGAGCUCGGGAGAUUGAGAAAGCAAUGGCGAUGGAGGAGGGGGAAAGCGUACAGAGAAAAUGGUGGUUGUUUUCCUUCUAUAGGUUGCCGUAAUACCAAGAGUCCCCUUUCUGCGCCGCAAACCUCGUGUCGGGCCCAUGGGACUGGGGGUACCUAGGCCCGCCUAUCUACAGCCCAAUGUGCAACACAUCUCCUAGGCCCAACGGCAUGCCCACCGCCAAGCUUCCCGAUCAAGACCCUCCCGAGCCCCCCGCCUUGCGAGGCGCAUGUUAGCAAGCGCCGCUAGGAGCCUCGCGAGGCAGCUUCCCCAGGCUGCGUCCUGAGGCCCCUCGCGGAGGCGUACAAGUCAAGGGUAGUUCGGCAGAGUAAUGCAGCCCUGAGUCUUCAUGUGGGUGAUGCGUGUGGUGAUGAUCGUUACUAGAGACCGUGCCAGCAUGCACGGAUGUCAUGAUUUUCCUCUUUUGUGCUAAGGGAGCAAGGCCAUCCACCAGUUCCCAAAGCAAUUCCCAAAGGUUGUCGAUUCGGUGCAAGAGGAUCAAGAUGACAUGCGCUCUAGGAUGGAGGUCAUCACUAAGCCCACCGACGCAUCAUGGAUGGUGGCUUUGGAAGUGAAUAUCACUUUUGUCAGGAUAUACUGUGCCCCUGUCCCCCUUCAAACUGGCCGUUUUGGCAACCCUUUCUACCAAGUUUUUUAGGGGAAGAGGACCAAGGCAGAUAUAAAAUAGGGCAGGGUGCCGCUGUAGGAGGGGAUCGGUUCCUUCCCCCCGACUCAUGUACUCCUAUUCUCCCUCACGAGAGCAAUCCAUCCACAAGUAGGAGUAGGGUAUUACACCGCAAGGUGGCCUGAACCUGGGUAAUUGUUGUGUCCUCUGUUCUUAUUCUCUAGCACAAGCUCGCUACAGCGUCGUCGUGAGGUUGUGAGGUUGCGAAGAAGAGCUGAGCGGUAGUAGCGAGUGCACUAGAGUUCAAACUUACUGGGUCCCUGGAGCCCUGAUUCAGACAUUUGGCAUGCCAAGUAGGGGUGCGCUGUCAUUCUUCCGCUUCAUUUUGACUUCCGAUCCACCAACUCCAUGGCUGAUGCCCGCCGUGUUCGUGCCGAGCGUCGGGCGUCUCGCAUCGCCCAGACGGUCCCUGUAGGCCGUGGUGAUCAUCGCCACUCUGCCUCAUCCGCGGACAACGCCGCCAUUGACCCCGCUUCUCACGAGCAGCAGGACUCCUCCAUGAACCCUUUAAUGAAGCUCGACGGCCGCACCGCCACGGCCUCCUCCUCCUUAGUCCAUCGCGGGACGCUAAAAGCGCAGGCUGCGCUGCUGAAAGGAUCGAGAAGAGGUGUCUAGAAGGGGGGGGGGCGGUUGAUUAGACCCUCAACAAAGAAAAGUAACAAUUUUCAAAUUCUUUAAGUUAAGGUGGAGUUUUAGCACAAGUUUAAACAUUCACAAUACAUUUUAAGCAAGCAUGGCAAGAGUAUAUGAGUAGCGGAAAGUAAAGCAUGCAAGUUGCAAGAAAGUAAAGGGAUGGGAUUGGAGUGUGCAAACACAAUUGGAGACAUGGAGAUUUUUAGCGUGGUUCCGAUAGGUGGUGCUAUCGUACACCCAUGUUGAUGGAGACUUCAACCCACGAAGAGUAAUGGUUGUGCGAGUCCACGCAGGGCUCCACUCACGAAGGGUCCAAGAGCAACCUUGUCUAUCCCACCAUGGCCAUCGCCCACGAAGGACUUGCCUCACUUGGGUAGAUCUUCACGAAGUAGGCGAUCUCCUUGCCCUUACAAACUCCUUGGUUCAACUCCACAAUCUUGAUGGAGGCUCCCAAGUGACACCUAACCAAUCUAGGAGACACCACUCUCCAAAAGGUAAUAGAUAGUGUGUUGAUGAUGAACUCCUUGCUCUUGUGCUUCAAAUGAUAGUCUCCCCAACACUCAACUCUCUCUCAUAGAUUUAGAUUUGGUGGAAAGAUGAUUUGAGUGGAAAGCAACUUGGGAAGGCUAGAGAUCAAGAUUCUUGUGGUUGGAAUGGAAUAUCUUGGUUUGGUGAAUAUAUCCACCAAUUUCUUAUUGGUACGAACAUGCUUAAGAUCAAUGUCCCCUUUGGCAACAUGAUCUCGAAUGAAAUGAUGACAAACUUCAAUAUGCUUAGUUCAAGAAUGUUGCACGAGAUUGUGAGCAAUCUUAAUAGAACAUUCAUUGUCACAAAGCAAUGGAAUAUAUGCCGUAAUCUUUAAGAGUUUGGGCCAUCCAAAGUAAUUGAGCACAACAUGAACCGGAUGCAAUGUAUUCCGCUUCGGUGGUGGAUAAGGAUACCGAGUUUUGUUUCUUGGAGGACCAAGACACAAGAGAUCUAUCAAGAAAUUGACAAGUACCCGAAGUGGACUUUCUAUCAACCUUGUCACCGGCAUAGUCCGAAUCGGAGUAGCCAACAAGAUCAAAAGAAGACCUCUUAGGAUACCAAAUGCCAAAAUUUGGUGUAUGAAUUAAGUAUCUCACUAUCCUUUUCACAGCCUUAAGAUGACAUUCUUUGGGGGCCGCUUGAUAUCGUGCACACAUGCACACACUUAGCAUAAUAUUGGGAUGGGAGGCACAUAGAUAUAACAAUGAACCAAUCAUAAAGCGAUAAACCUUUUGAUCAACCGGUUUGCCAUCCUUAGUCAAGUCAAGAUGUCCACUAGUAGGCAUUGGUGUAUUCAUACCUAUGCAUUCUUGCAUGUUGAACUUCUUGAAUAAGUCCUUGGUAUACUUUGUUUGGGAAACAAAGGUACCCUCCUUAGUUUGCUUGAUUUGCAAACUAAGAAAUAAUUUGAGUUCACUCAUCAUAGACAUCUCAAACUUCUCCGACAUUAGCUUUCAAAACUUUUCACUAAAAUGGGGGUUAGUUGAACCAAAUAUGAUAUCAUCAACAUAAAUUUGGCACACAAAUAAUUCACCAUUAACCCUUUUAGUAAAAAGAGUAGAAUCAAUUUUUCCAAUCUCAAAGCCUUUUUCAAUAAGGAACUUGGUCAAGCAUUUAUACCACGCUCUAGGAGCUUGUUUAAGACCAUAAAGAGCUUUGUGAAGUUUGUAAACAUGGUCAGGUUUCUUAGGAUUAACAAAGCCGGGAGGUUGUUUAACAUAAACUUCCUCCUCAAUUUCACCAUUUCAAAAAGCACUUUUAAUGUCCAUUUGGUACAAGGUAAUAUCAUGGUGAUUAGCAUAGGCAAGUAAGAUGCGGACGGACUCAAGUCUAGCAACGGGGCAUAUGUCUGACCAUAAUCCAUACCUUCGACUUGAGUGUAGCCUUGGGUGAUGAGACGUGCUUUGUUGCGAACGACUUGUCCAUCUUCGUCUUGCUUGUUGCGAAACACCCAUUUGGUCCAAAUGAUGUUGUGGUUGUUGCCGGGCUUCUCGACCAAUGUCCACACUUGGUUUCUCUCGAAGUUGUGUAGCUCUUCAUGCAUGGCAUUUAUCCAAUCCGGAUCUUCCAAUGCUUCUUCAACCUUCAUAGGUUCAAUGCUAGAGAUGACUGAAUAAUGUUCACAAAAAUUUGCCAAAUGAGUUUUAGAGCGAGUGGUUCUCCCAGUUUGGAUAUCAUUGAAGAUUUUCUCGACGGGAUGGUCUCUUGUGACUCUUCCUAUGACUCGUGAGAGCUUUUGUUUGGGUCGGGGUGGAACAUCUUCUUCAUCAUCUUGUUGUUCCUCUUGGCCUUCUUGGUUGUUGACAUUGUCGUUCUCUUGUCGAGGUGGAGAAGGAGGUUUAUGAGGUUCAUCUUGGUGUACUUCCUUGUUUUCUUCAUCUUGACGUGUCCCACUUGUGGAUGCCUCCGUGUCAACUCUUAGUUCACCUUGUCGUGAGGUAGAAGCUUCCACUUGUACGGACGAGGUACUCUCCUUCACCUCCGUUGGACGAAUCUUGCCAAUAGACAAGUCUUGGGUUUCUUCCGAAGGGUCUUUGUCUCCUACAUCGAUUGGCAAUUGCUCUACUUGCGAGCCGUUAGAUUCAUCAAACUUCACAUCUACCGUCUCUUCAACCUUUCGGGUGAAAUUGUUGUAGACACGGUAGGUGUGAGAGUUUGAGCCAUAACCGAGUAGGAAACCCUCAUGAGAUUUAGGAGCAAAUUUAGAACGAUGAUGCUUAUCAAGAAUAUAGCACUUUGAGCCGAAUACUCGUAAGUAUCCAACUUGGGGUUUGUUACCGGUGAGAAGCUCAUAUGCCGUCUUGCCGAGUAGCUUGUGAAGAUACAAGCGAUUUGUUGCGUGACAAGAUGUCUCAACCACUUCCGCCCGAAAGUGUUUUGGCGUCUUGUACUCAUCAAGCAUCAUUCUUGCCAUCUCAAUAAGAAUCCGGUUCUUCCUCUCAACAACUCCAUUUUGUUGAGGCAUGUACGUAGCCGAGAACUCAUGUGAGAUCCCUUCUUCGUCAAGAAAGGUAUCCAAAUUUGCGUUCUUGAACUCCGUUCUAUUGUCGCUGUGAACCUUCUUGAUAUUCACUUCAAAUUGAUUUUGGGCCUUCCUAGUGAAGUUCUUGAAGAUCUUUUGAACCCGCGAUUUAUCAUCAAGAAAGAAUACCCACGUAAAUCUUGAAAAAUCAUCAACUAUGACUAAACCAAAUGAGUUUCCACAGAGACUUUUAUAGGCAUUGGGACCAAAGAGAUCCAUAUGAAGUAGCUCAAGUGGUCUUCUCGUGGUCAUUGUCGUGGAAUUGUCACGACAGAUGUCCUGGUGAAAGUACUUAAUCGUGGAGCCAUCGCAACUAGGAAGCUUAAAGGGGUUAAACGGGACAAAGGACAUGAGAGGUUUAUACUGGUUCGGCCCCUUGUGGUGAAGGUAAAGGCCUAGUCCAGUUGAGAUGAUAUUGCUAGGUUUCUAUGACCAAGGAGCGAAUACGCUUAACUUGGCUCUCGAUCUAUUGUUUCUUGUCCUAAGCUGCCGCCGGGUCGUCCCCUUAUAUACAUGGGUUGACGCCCUACGUCCUACAGAGUCCCGGCCGGCUCAUACAACGUGUCCGGCUCAGUGACGUAUCUUACAUGCCUUACAUUACAAGUCUAUUCAUACACGGUAGUUUAUACAUACGGGCCUUAAGCCUCCUCUGGGCUUGGGCCUAUCAUAAGCCUAAUUGUGAUCCGCCAUCUUGUAUACUCUUGGGCUUCAUUUAGGUAAACCGCCAUUGUGGUUGACCCGGCUCCUCCCGAGCGGGUCAUAUCUGGUAGUCAUAUCCCCAAGAUUAGGCCCCAGGUUGAUUUGAACUUUGUUCAUGUCAAUCUUCAACACUUAGAAAAAAUCCAUUUACCACUACUGUGAAAGCCUUGUAACCCGCCAUGAUGUCAUCUCCAGGAAUUUUGGAAACCCGUUGAUCCAAAGUAAUAUCUGCAGUCUAUGAAACUUGUUUACCUCAGUACUUAACCAAUUUUUUGUCGCUGGCAACUUUUGAAUAUCCUUAGUCAUGGCGGCUUACCAUGCCGGCUUAUUUUUCCUUCAUAUACCAUUAGCCCUUAUUUAAGCCGCCAUUACACAUCUGUAUUGCAAUCAUUAACCUGUGAUUCCACCAAUUAACUUGAACCGGCAAAUUACUUCCUUUUUAGCUUGUUUUUUCGCCAUGCCACGAAAGACGGUGACAGUUUGCAACUGGGUCCCUUCCACAGUCACCGAGGACACUCUGAAGGAUUUUGUCACCAUUGUGUAUUUACCAGAGAAGAGCGUCAUGUCCUACCGCGCCCCUGACCUGACUGAAGAAAAGCCUCAGCCAAAAGAUGGUGAAAUCAUCGUCUUUACUGAUCAUAUGAACCGGGGUUUUUCACCGCCCGACUCAAAAUUCUUCAGAGAGGUCCUAUAUUUUUCAAGCUUCAUCCGCAAGACAUUGGACCCAAUUCCAUAUCAAACAUAUGCAAUUUCCAAGUUCUCUGCGAGGUUUAUCUUCAAGAAGAACCUACUGUUGAACUCUUUAGAGAGUAUUUCUAUUUGAACCGCCAGAAUGAAUACACCAACGGCCCCAGCUUGGAACUUGGUGGGAUUUCGAUUCAGCGCAGACGGGAUGCUGUCUUUCCUUUAGUAGUCUUGCCAAGCCAUCCCAAGGACUGGAACCAAACUUGGUUUUAUUGCAAAGACACAUCGCCAUCUGAUGAAAAACCAAUGCCGGAUUAUCGCGCUGAGCGUCUUGACGCUAAGUAUUCACCCCCUGAUAAGCUUUCUGCCGCUGAACGUAAGAAACUCAUCCCAACCAUCAAAAGGGUUCAAGCCUUGCUAGGAAAUGGCUUAAUUGGAGUUGACUUGAUCCGCUAUUGGAUCACAUGGCAGAUCAUCCCUCUGAGCUGCCAAUCUGACUUGAUGUACAACUACAUCGGAGGAGCAGACGAUUCGUUACGCCAUAGCUCCCUACGUCUGACUGAAGAAGCCAUCGUUGAAAUGUCAACCACCCUCAUCAACAAAAAAUAUUAAGACUGCAGCAAAGUAGGAUUGAAUCCUUUUUGCAAACUUAACCCGGCACCAGAGGUAAAUCCCCUUGACUCCUUUUUCUUCAGUAGUUAAGUAUUUGCAUGAGUUUCAAUCUAUUAUUUUUCUACGGGCUAAAUCUGAGUUUUGGAAGGCCAAAUAUGAUCAUGAGGCUGCCAAAAAAGCUAGAGCCGCCGCAAUAGCCACCAAGAAGAUGGCCAGAAAAUCUAAGAAGAAACCAACUGCUUCUGACAUGUUCAAGUUGGAUGACAUCUCUGAGUCGGAGGUAGCCCUUGACUCCCUUGGCCUGCUUUUUAACAACCUGAUUGACACUGACUAUUACCAGGAUAACACGGGGGCCAGCCAUGCAGUAGAAGAAGAGGUAACUAUUAUUUCCUCCGACUUAGAACCUUUGCCAAGGCAUAAACCUCGGUGGGUAACCCGGAAAGUAAGGUUUUCACACCCCUUGGCUUAUUUAGAUCCUCAUUUUCUUUUGAAAAAGCAGCAACACGAGAGCCGCCGUCAGACCCGGACCAGUGGAGAUGAUGAGUUACCCUCUGGCUUACCAAAAAAUCCCCGGAAAUGCCAGAAUGAGGUUCUUUUACAUCUUAACUUUGAUGAACAAGUCACUUUUAUAAAUUACUCAACCAUAAUUCCAUUCUUUGCAGGAGAUUGUUCGUUCCUCCUCUGGUGAUUCCUCCCAAACUCAACUGCCGGCUUUUAAGACCGCCCCCGGGUAAAGAUAAUUAUCCUUCUUCUGCACCUUUAUGCAUGUAUCAUUAUGUUGACUCUUUAAAUUCUCCUUAGUGGUCAAGCAAAACCCAAGAAGCCCAAGGUGGCCAAACCGGCUGAAGACCCGAAAAUCGCUGAACCGGCGCAGCCGACUCUUGCCUCAGAAAAACCUGAAGCGCCGAAAGACCUCGCUGCCAAUGUUCACUCAGAUCUUCCUGAGCCGUCUGUUGAUGAAACAACCGUCAAGCUCAGCUAACCCGUUAGAGACUUAUGGCAAUGAUGUUUUAAUCACUGGUAGCAGAUUUGUUGAACCGGUUAAUCCAACUGUGCUGGCAAGACACUCCGCCAAGCAAGAGGUUAUAGAGAGGCAAAAAGUGAGGUUUGAUGUCUCCCACUACACCCAUCUGAGUAUUGGUGAAGUACCAUCUGGCUACCUUAGCCAAGUCAACUCCAGCCAUGACUCAGAGUUUGAAAUAGUCAAACAGUUGUAUCAGAAAUAUGAGGUAUGUCGUCCGGCUUAUAUAUACAUCCUGUCACCCCCAAGUCUUCUGAUUAUGAAAAAACUUGAAUAAUCUGUAGACUUUGAAAUGUUUAGAAGGUCCUGUCCUAGACUUCCUCCAAGUCCGGUUUAUAUACUGUAACCCGGAUUCUGAUGAUAGCAUAAUUGUUGCAAGUGUAGUCCCCAAGGGCCGGCUUAAUCAAUAUGAAUGAGCCAGUUCUUAAGUAGGAAAAAACAACAAUAUACAUUAGCCCCCAAGUGUCAAGUGCUCUUGCUUGCAAAGCACUUGGGACUUCUAGAAAAAAAUCCAAGUCCUUUGAUAAUAAGAUUGCGCUGACAGACAUUAGCCCCCAAGUGCCAAGCGUUAUUGCUUGCGAAACCACUUGGGACUUGCUUUUAUAAUCCUCCAUGAAACUAACAACUUUAUUCUGUAUACAGGUUGCAACCGCAGAACUGGAAUCCCAAUUGACUGAAGCCAAGACCCGGCUAUCGACUCAGGAGACUGAAACAAAGAAGAUUGAAUCCAAACUCCAGUUGAGCAUGUCUGAAGCAGAGAAACUGAAGACCACUUUUAAUGCAGAGAAAAAAUCUUGGGCCGAUGAAAAGACUGCCCUGACACAGCGUGCUGAAACAGCCGAGGCGGCUCUCAAGGAAGUUACCGCUGAACUCACCGGUUCAAAGAACCGUGUGUCUCAGAUGGUCUAUGCAAUCUUCGGUGAGUCACCUUAUUAUUUCCUUUAAGUCUAUUUUUGUCAUCAUAAUGUGAGCCGCCUGAUACGUCUUCAACGUAUCUAUAAUUUUUGAUUGCUCCAUGUUAUAUUAUCUACUGUUUUGGACAUUAUUGGGCUUUAUUAUCCACUUUUAUAUUAUUUUUGGGACUAACCUAUUAACCAGAGGCCCAGCCCAGAAUUGUUGUUUUUUGCCUGUUUUAGGGUUUCGAAGAAAAGGAAUAUCAAACGGAGUCCAAACGGAAUGAAACCUUCGGGAACGUGAUUUUCUCACCGAAUAGAACUCAGGAGACUUGGACCCUACGUCAAGCCAAUUAACAGGAGGCCACGAGGUAGGGGGGCGCGCCUGCCCCCCAGGCACACCCUCCACCCUCAUGGGCCCCCUGUUGCUCCACCGACGUACUUCUUCCUCCUAUAUAUAUCCACAUACCCCCAAACGAUCAGAUACGGAGCCAAAAACCUAAUUCCAUCGCCGCAACUUUAUGUAUCCACGAGAUCCCAUCUUGGGGCCUGUUCCGGAGCUCCGCCGGAGGGGGCAUCGAUCACGGAGGGCUUCUACAUCAUCAUCCAAGCGCCUCCGAUGAAGUGUGAGUAGUUUACUUCAGACCUACGGGUCCAUAGUUAGUAGCUAGAUGGCUUCUUCUCUCUUUUUGGAUCUCAAUACAAUGUUCUCCCCCUCUCUCAUGGAGAUCUAUUUGAUGUAAUCUUCUUUUUGUGGUGUGUUUGUUGAGAGUGAUGAAUUGUGGGUUUAUGAUCCAGUCUAUCUAUGAAUAAUAUUUGAAUCUUCUAUGAAUUCUUUUAUGUAUGAUUGGUUAUCUUUGCAAGUCUCUUCGAAUUAUCAGUUUGGUUUGGCCUACUAGAUUGGUUUUUCUUGCCAUGGGAGAAGUGCUUAGCUUUGGGUUCAAUCUUGCGGUGUCCUUUCCCAGUGACAGAAGGAGCAGCAAGGCACGUAUUGUAUUGUUGCCAUAGAGGAUAACAAGAUGGUUUUUUUAAUCAUAUUGCAUGAAACUAUCCCUCUACAUCAUGUCAUCUUGCCUAAGGCGUUACUCUAUUUUUGACUUAAUACUCUAGAUGCAUGCUGGAUAGCGGUCGAUGAGUGGAGUAAUAGUAGUAGAUGCAGGCAGGAGUCGGUCUACUUGUCUCGGACGUGAUGCCUAUAUACAUGAUCAUACCUAGAUAUUCUCAUAACUAUGCUCAAUUCUGUCAAUUGCUCAACAGUAAUUUGUUCACCCACCGUAGAAUACUUAUGCUCUUGAGAGAAGCCACUAGUGAAACCUAUGGCCCCCGGGUAUCUUUAUCAUCAUAUCAAUCUCCAUCACUUUAUUAUUGCUUUGCUUUUUUACUUUUCCCUUUACUUUUCACUUUGCAUCUCUAUACCAAAAAUACCAAAAAUAUUAUUUAUCAUCUCUAUCAGAUCUCACUUUCGUAAGUGACCGUGAAGGGAUUGACAACCCCUAAGCACGUUGGUUGCGUUGAGCUAUUGUUUCUGUGUAGGUACGAGGGACUCGCGCGUAGCCUCCUAUUGGAUUGAAACCUUGGUUCUCAAAAACUGAGGGAAAUACUUACGCCACUUUGCUGCAUCAUCCUCUCCUCUUCGAGGAAAUCCAACACAGUGCUCAAGAGGUAGCAAGAAGAAUUUCUGGCGCCACUGCCGGGGAGUCUGCGCAAAAGUCAAUAUACCAAGUACCCAUCACAAUCCCUAUCUCCCGCAUUACAUUAUUUGCCAUUUGCCUCUCGUUUUCCUCUCCCCCACUUCACCCUUGCCGUUUUAUUCGCCCUCUCUCUAUCCUUCCUCUCUUUCUCUAUUUGCCUCUUUUUGCCCGUUUUCCUUUUGUUUGCUCGUGUGUUAGUUUGCUUGUUUGUCGCGAUGGCUCUACCUAGAUUUGGUGAUCUUCACCUCAAAAGGUUAGAGGAGAUCGAAAACAACGUCAGGAAGUUUACGGUUUUGCAAUUUGAGCAUAAUAAUUUCUUUAGAAAUGAGCUUAAGGAACAAAAAAGUUUCAUGAAUUUUAUGAAUAAAGAGCUCGAUGAUAUGUCUAAAGAAUUUGAUGGUAUAAGAUCCCAAAUUGCUCGUCUUGAAAAAUUAACUGCUGAAAUUUCAGAUAUGCAAGCCACCUUAGUCAAUAAGAUGGCCGCUAAACCAGAUUCCUAUGAAAAUCAAGAUGAAGAUCUAAAAGUUAUUGAUGUGUCCCCUAUUAAAUCUUUGAUUUUCAAUAUUAAUCUGGAUAAUGAUGGGACUGAACAUGAUCCACCUUUACCUAGAAGGCGUUCUAAAAAUUCAGAGUAUUUAGAUCUUGAUGGUGAAAUUGAUAAAAGCGGGAUUAAAAGAAAUAAAACCCUAGAUGAUGCUAAACCCACUAUAUUGGAUUUCAAGGAAUUUAAUUAUGAAAAUUUCUCUUUUAUUGAUUGUAUUUCCUUGUUGCAAUCCGUGCUAAAUUCUCCUCAUGCUUAUAGUCAAAAUAAAUACUUUACCGAACAUAUCGUUGAUGCCUUGAUGCAAUCUUAUGAAGAAAAACUUGAGUUGAAAGUUUCUAUCCCUAGAAAACUUUAUGAUGAGUGGGAACCUACUAUUAAAAUUAAAGUUAAAGAUCAUGAAUGCUAUGCUUUAUGUGAUUUGGGUGCUAGUGUCUCUACUAUUCCCAAAACUUUGUGUGAUUUGCUAGAUUUCCGUGAUUUUGAUGAUUGCUCUCUAAACUUGCAUCUUGCGGAUUCCACUAUUAAGAAACCUAUGGGAAUAAUUAAUGAUGUUCUUAUUGUUGUAAAUAGGAAUUAUGUGCAUGUAGAUUUUAUCGUUCUUGAUAUAGAUUGCAAUCCUUCUUGCCCUAUUAUUCUCGGUAGACCUUUCCUUAGAACGGUUGGUGCAAUUAUUGAUAUGAAGGAAGGGAAUAUUAGAUUCCAAUUUCCAUUAAAAAAGGGCAUGGAACACUUCCCUAGAAAGAAAAUAAAAUUACCAUAUGAAUCUAUCAUGAGAGCCACUUAUGGAUUGCCUACCAAAGAUGGCAAUACCUAGAUCUAUUCUUGCUUGGUAUGCCUAGCUAGGGGCAUUAAACGAUAGCGCUUGUUGGGAGGCAACCCAAUUUUAUUUUUAUUCCUUGCUUUUUGCUCCUUCUUAGUAAUAAAUAAAUUAUUUAGCCUCAUUUUUGGUUGUUUUUUUGUGUUUAAUUAGUGUUUGUGCCAAGUAGAACCGUUGGGAAGACUUGGGGAAAGUCUUGUUGAACUUGCUGUAAAAAACAGGAACUUUAGCGCUCACGAGAACUGCUGUCAUUUUUAUUUGGGAAUUGCUAUUUAGUUAAUUAUUUUUUCAAGAUGUUUAAUAGAUAAAUUCCUCACGUCCAGCAAUUUAUUUUAUAAUUUUGGGGUUCCAGAUAUUGCGCUAGCUACAGAUUACUACAGACUGUUCUGUUUUUGACAGAUUCUGUUUUUCGUGUAUUAUUUGCUUAUUUUGAUGAAUCUAUGGCUAGUAAAAUAGUUUAUGAACCAUAGAGAAGUUGGAACACAGUAGGUAUAACACCCAUAUAAAUAAAGAAUGAGUUCAUUACAGUACCUUGAAGUGGUCUUUUGUUUUCUUUCGCUAACGGAGCUCACGAGAUUUUCUUCUUUAAGUUUUGUGUUGUGAAGUUUUCAAGUUUUGGGUAAAGAUUUGAUGGAUUAUGGAACAAGGAGUGGCAAGAGCCUAAGCUUGGGGAUGCCCAUGGCACCCCAAGAUAAUCUAAGGACACCUAAAAGCCAAAGCUUGGGGAUUCCCCGGAAGGCAUCCCCUCUUUCAUCUACUUCUAUCGGUAACUUUACUUGGAGGUAUAUUUUUAUUCACCACAUGAUAUGUGUUUUGCUUGGAGCGUCUUUUAUGAUUUGAGUCUUUGCUUGUUAGUCUACCACAAUCAUCCUUGCUGUACACACCUUUUGAGAGAGCCAUACAUAAUUCUGAAUUUGAUAGAAUACUCUAUGUGCUUCACUUAAAUCUUUUGAGCUCUAUAGUUUUACUCUAGUGCUUCACUUAUAUCUUUUGAGUUUUAUAAUUUUGCUCUAGUGCUUCACUUAUAUCUUUUAGAGCACGGUGGUGGAUUUGUUUUAUAGAAACUAUUGAUCUCUCAUGCUUCACUUAGAUUAUUUUGAGAGUCUUAAUAGCAUGGUAAUUUGCUUGAAAUCUUAAUAUGCUUGGUAUGCAAGAUUAAUAAUAAAACUUUCUUAUGAGUAUGUUGAAUACUAAGAAAAGUUUGAUGCUUGAUGAUUGUUUUGAGAUAUGGAGGUAAUAAUAUCAAAGUCAUGCUAGUUGAUUAGUUGUGAAAUUGAGAAAUACUUGUGUUGAGGUUUGCAUGUCCCGUAGCAUGCACGUAUGGUAAACGUUAUGCAACAAAUUUGAAACAUGAGGUGUUAUUUGAUUGUCUUCCUUAUGAGUGGCGGUCGGGGACGAGCGAUAGUCUUUUCCUACCAAUCUAUCCCUCUAGGAGCAUGCGCGUAGUACCGAGGUUUUUGAUGACUUGCAGAUUUUUGCAAUAAGUAUGUGAGUUCUUUAUGACUAAUGUUGAGUCCAUGGAUUAUACGCACUCUCACCAUUCCAUCCUUGCUAGCCUCUUCGGUACCGUGCAUUGCCCUUUCUCACAUUGAGAGUUGGCGCAAACUUUGCCGGUGCAUCCAAACCCCAUGAUAUGAUACACUCUUUCACACAUAGACCUCCUUAUAUCUUCCUCAAAACAGCCACCAUACCUACAUAUUAUGGCAUUUCCAUAGCCAUUCCGAGAUAUAUUGCCAUGAAACUUUCCAUCAUUCCGUUCAUCAUGACAUAUUCAUGAUUGUCAUAUUGCUUAGCAUGAUCAUGUAGUUGACAUAGUAUUGUUGGCAAAGCCACCGUUCAUAAUUCUUUCAUACAUGUCACUCUUGGUUCAUUGCAUAUCCCGGUACACCGCCGGAGGCAUUCAUAUAGAGUCAUCUUUGUUCUAGUAUCGAGUUGUAAUCAUUGAGUUGUAAAUAAAUAGAAGUGUGAUGAUCAUCAUUAUUAGAGCAUUGUCCCAAGUGAGGAAUAAAAAAAAGAGAAAGGCCAUAAAAAAGAGAAGGCCCCAAAAAAGAGAAAGGCCAUAAAAAAAGAGAAGGCCCCCAAUAAAAAUGAGAGAAAAAGAGAGAAGGGACAAUGUUACUAUCCUUUUACCACACUUGUGCUUCAAAGUAGCACCAUGAUAUUCAUAGUAGAGAGUCUCUCAUGUUAUCACUUUCAUAUACUAGUGGGAAUUUUUCACUAUAGAACUUGGCUUGUAUAUUCCAACAAUGGGCCUCCUCAAGUGCCCUAGGUCUUCGUGAGCAAGCAAGUUGGAUGCACACCCACUUAGUUUCUUUUGUUGAGCUUUCAUACAUUUAUAACUCUAGUGCAUCCGUUGCAUGGCAAUCACUACACCUUGCAUUAACAUCAAUAGGUGGGCAUCUCCAUAGCCCAUUGAUUAGCCCCAUUGAUAUGAGACUUCCUCCUUUUUUGUCUUCUCCACAUAAUCCCCUCAUUAUAUUCUAUUCCACCUAUAGUGCUAUGUCCAUGGCUCGCGCUCAUAUAUUGCGUGAAAGUUUAUAGGUUUCAGAUUACUAAAGUAUGAAAUAAUUGCUUGGCUUGUCAUCGGGGUUGUGCAUGAUGAUAGCAUUCUUGUGUGACGAAAAUGAAACAUGACUAAACCAUAUGAUUUUGUAGGGAAGAACUUUCUUUGGCCAUGUUAUUUUGAGAAGACAUAAUUGCUUAGUUAGUAUGCUUGAAGUAUUAUCAUUUUUAUGUCAAUAUGAACUUUUGUCUUGAAUCUUUCGGAUCUGAAUAUUCAUAUCACAAUUAAGAAGAAUUACAUUAAAAUUAUGCCAAGUAGCACUCCGCAUCAAAAAUUCUGUUUUUAUUAUUUACCUACUCGAGGACGAGCAGGAAUUAAGCUUGGGGAUGCUUGAUACGUCUCCAACGUAUCUAUAAUUUUUGGUUUCUCCAUGCUAUAUUAUCUACUAUUUUGGACAUUAUUGGGCUUUAUUAUCCACUUUUAUAUUAUUUUUGGGACUAACCUAUUAACCGGAGGCCCAGCCUAGAAUUGUUGUUUUUGCCUGUUUUAGGGUUUCGAAGAAAAGGAAUAUCAAACGGAGUCCAAACGGAAUGAAACCUUCGAGAACGUGAUUUUCUCACCGAAUACAACUCAGGAGACUUGGACCCUACGCCAAGCCAAUUAACAGGAGGCCACGAGGUAGGGGGCACUCCUGCACCCCUAGGCGCGCCCUCCACCCUCGUGGGCCCACUGUUGCUCCACGGACGUACUUCUUCCACCUAUAUAUAUCCACGUACCCCCAAACGAUCAGAUACGGAGCCAAAAACCUAAUUCCACCGCCGAAACUUUCUGUAUCCAUGAGAUCCCAUCUUGGGGCCUGUUCCGGAGCUCCGCCGGAGGGGGCAUCGAUCACGGAGGGCUUCUACAUCAUCAUCCAAGCCCCUCCGAUGAAGUGUGAGUAGUUUAAUUCAUACCUACGGGUCCAUAGUUAGUAGAUAGAUGGAUUCUUCUCUCUUUUUGGAUCUCAAUACAAUGUUCUCCCCCUCUCUCGUGGAGAUCUAUUUGAUGUAAUCUUCUUUUUGUGGUGUGUUUGUUGAGAAUUGUUGGUUUAUGAUCCAGUCUAUCUAUGAAUAAUGUUUGAAUCUUCUCUGAAUUCUUUUAUGUAUGAUUGGUUAUCUUUGCAAGUCUCUUCGAAUUAUUAGUUUGGUUUGGCCUACUAGAUUAGUUUUUCUUGCCAUGGGAGAAGUGCUUAGCUUUGGGUUCGAUCUUGCGGUGUCCUUUCCCAGUGACAAAAGGGGCAGCAAGGCACGUAUUGUAUUGUUGCCAUCGAGGAUAACAAGAUGGUUUUUUAUCAUAAUGCAUGAAACUACCCCUCUACAUCAUGUCAUCUGGCCCAAGGCGUUACUCUGUUUUUAACUUAAUACUCUAGAUGCAUGCUGGAUAGCGGUCGAUGAGUGGAGUAAGAGUAGUAGAUGCAGGCAGGAGUCGGUCUACUUGUCUCGGACGUGAUGCCUAUAUACAUGAUCAUACCUAGAUAUUCUCAUAACUAUGCUCAAUUUUGUCAAUUGCUCAACAGUAAUUUGUUCACCCACCGUAGAAUACUUAUGCUCUUGAGAGAAGCCACUGGUGAAACCUAUGGCCCCCGGGUCUCUUUCUCAUCAUAUCAAUCUCCGUCACUUUAUUAUUGCUUUGCUUUUUUACUUUGCCUUUUACUUUUCACUUUGCAUCUCUAUACCAAAAAUAUUAUUUAUCAUCUCUAUCAGAUCUCACUUUUGUAAGUGACCGUGAAGGGAUUGACAACCCCUAAGCGCGUUGGUUGCGUUGAGCUAUUGUUUUUGUGUAGGUACGAGGGACUCGCGCGUAGCCUCCUACUGGAUUGAUACCUUGGUUCUCAAAAACUGAGGGAAAUACUUACACUACUUUGGUGCAUCAUCCUCUCCUCUUCGGGGAAAUCCAACGCAGUGCUCAAGAGGUAGCACCGCCUGCUUAACCUAUUGGAAAUACCUCACAGGUCCCCGGAGCAGCAAUCUGAGUCAAAAUAGCUUGAUAAAGCUCAAGACGGUUUACACCCUUGUGGAGCAACUGUAUACUGGAGCUCAACGGGCUCUUGCUAUUAUCUCCUGAGCUAACCAAGGACCACACCUAUUGAGUGAUGUCUUGAAGAAGCUAUCCAUCUUACCCGCCAGGUUUCAAGAAGUCAAGCGUUCCUGUGCAAGAGCCGGAGCCGUAACUGCUUUAAGCCGCUCCAAAGCCUGGGUACCGGAGCUAGACCCGGUGGACGUAGCCAAGGGGUACCCCAGCUUCAAGGAAGAUUGGAGUCCCUUCGACCAAGAAGACUUUGCUGCUUGUGUAAAAGAGAUUCGUCCUCAUGCCACCAUCAUUGCCGAAGAAACCAAUCUUACCAAGUAUCAGCCGGGUUUUGGUGCUGAAAAGAAAAAGAUGACAACUUCAUCAUAUAAAGUGACGGAUCUAAUCCCGCCGGUUCGAUAGCACACCUUCGCCCCAGAAAUUGACCCGUCUGGUCUAAUUGAUGAUGAGGCUGAGUUCGUCGCCCUUCAUGGCUUUGAUUGAUCCAAGCCCAAUUUCCAAACGGUGGAGGAGGAUGAAUCGGCAAGGGAUGAGUCAUAACCAUCCAAUCAACCCGGCCAGGAUUGAUGAGCCGGCUUUAGUUUAUCAUCUGCUAUGAGAGUUUAAAAAUAACAUUAUCCCUUUGGGCUCCAAGCGCCUUGUAAUAGGCUAGCUUAAAACUUCAUGUUCUGCUUAUGCCAUCGUGCAUAUUGUUCUGCGUACAACACUUUUAUCCGUCAUGUGAACAUAUGCCUUACAUCCUUUACAAUAUCAGUAGUGUUUGAACCUGUUCCUGUAUGUAAAAUAUGAAAAUUGUCCUGGCGGUUUAUCGCCGGACGGGUCAAAAAGCCCAGUACACAACCAUGGAAACCAACAUAACUGUAUAAUCAAGGCUGGAUGUAAGGAUAAUUAAGGCUGGAAAGCCUCUGAUUGAAGAAACACGGAUAAGCCUAUUAUGAAUUUUAACGACAAUAUCAUACAUGUGAUCUUGAAUCUGAACUGCCGGCUUAUGUGACCCGAACAGUAAGGUAAUAACCCAAUCUUUAAAAGUCAACACCUCCAUAUGUAUGAUGACUGUCAUACACUGGCGAUUCAUCAUCAAAAAACCAAGCUGGUUUAAAUUGAGACCAUACUUACACUUAGAUCUAGACGACAAAACCGCAAAAAACAAAAGAUUGUCUUUCAAACAACGUAAGUCAAACACCAAGAAAAAUUUGGAGGCUUCUGAUUCGAAUAUGAUUAGUAAACCGGACCAAAGAGGUUAAGCUAGGAUUCGAAUACGAUCAUGUAGCCCCCAGUGGCUUUGGCGUUGUGCCGAUCAAGAGGGUACCGACAACUAUGUUCUCUUUGGUUUGAAUAUGACCUAUGUUUGAACAGGAAGCCCCCAAAUGACCUUGAGAGAUUUUUAACGACCCUGAUUCGAAUACGAUCCAAGUCGGACCCAAAAGGGGUUAAGCUAUGAUUCGAAUACGAUCAAGAAGCCCCCUAGUGAGUUUGGCAUUGCGCCGAUCAAGAGGGUACCGACAGCUAUGUUCUCUUUGGUUCGAAUACGACCUAUGUUUGAACAGGAAGCCCCCGAUCAUAAUGUUUAACGUCUAGAUUCAAAUACGAUCAUGAGCCGGACCAAAGGGGUUAAGCUAGAUUUAAAUACAAUCAGCCCCUAAUUGGUCAUUUUGAAAGUAUAAUGAUAAAGGCAUGUGAUUAUUGAGAAUGAAAAGGACAGAGGUCCUGCUUUAUUACUUAUCAUAAUAUAUACAACGUCAAAGUAUGUACAUUAUGAGAGCUGGUGGCUCAAGUAUAGUAAGGCCGAAGAUGAGCGAUAUUCCACGACCGGCGGGUCUCUUCCUCCGACUUACGUGAGUCUUUGUGCUCUCGAACAUCGAUGAGGUAGUAUGACCCAUUGUUCAAGUUCCCGCUGACCACAAAAGGGUCCUUCCCAAGGUGGGGAUAAUUUGUGUGCAUCAGUUUGGUCCUGGAUGAGCUGGAGCACCAAGUCACCUUCCUGAAAGGUUCUAGACUUAACCCGACGGCUGUGAUAACGGCGCAGGUCCUGUUGGUAAAUCGCUGAGCAGGCUGCUGCUAAGUCACGCUCUUCAUCUAAUAGGUCAAGUGCAUCCUGACGGGCUUGUUCGUUAUCAGCUUCAACGUAAGCUGCCACACGGGGCAGUCAUGGAGGAUGUCACUAGGCAGGACUGCCUCUGCUCCAUAAACCAUGAAGAAAGGCGUAUAACCUGUAGACCUGUUAGGGGUAGUAUUGAUGCUCCAUAUCACAAAAGGUAACUCCUCCACCCAACAACCUGGCGUCCGUUGUAAAGGAACCAUAAGCCGGGGCUUGAGACCUUUCAAGAUUUCCUAAUUUGCUCUUUCAGCUUGACCAUUGGAUUGGGGGUGAGCUACUGAUGAAACAUCAAGCCGGAUAUGCUCACGUUGACAAAAUUCCUCCAUAGCACCCUUGGACAGAUUAGUACCAUUGUCAGUUAUAAUGCUGUGUGGAAAGCCAAAAAUGAAAGAUCACCUUUUUCAUGAAUUGAACCGAUGUGGCUGCAUCACACUUACUAACCAGCUCUGCCUCAACCCACUUCGUGAAUUUUUCAACUACCACCAAAAGGUGUGUCUUUUUAUCUUUGGAUCUUUUGAAAGGUCCAACCAUAUCGAGCCCCCCAGACUGCAAACGUACAAGUAAUUGGAAUCAUCCGCAAUUCUUGAGCUGGCACAUGCGCCCGUCGUGCAAAUUUCUAACAACCAUCACACCUACUGACUAAAUCCUCCGCAUCAACAUGAGCCGUCAACCAGUAAAAACCAUGACGGAAAGCUUUGGCCACAAGAGACCUUGAACCGGCAUGAUGUCCAUAAUCUCCUUCAUGGAUCUCACGAAGAAUUUCUUGACCUUCCUCAGGCGAGACACAACAUUGAAACGCCCCGGUGACACUGCGAUGAUGCAACUCACCGUUGGCAAUUGUCAUUGAUUUAGACCACUGAGUUAUCUGUCUAGCCAAGGUCUCAUCCCCAGGCAACUCACCCCGGGUCAUAUAAGCCAAAUAUGGCACUGUCCAGUCUAGGAUGACGUGAAGAGCCGCCACCAAUUGUGCUUCCAGGUCUGGAAUAGCCAAGUCUUCCUCUGUAGGCAACUUGAUAGAAGGGUUAUGCAGAACAUCUAAGAAAGUGUUAGGUGGCACCGGCUUACGCUGAGACCCCAGCCGGCUUAAAGCAUCAACUGCUUCAUUCUUUCUGCGAUCAAUGUGUUCCACUUGGUAACCCUUGAAGUGUCCAGCAAUGGCAUCAACUUCGCGGUGAUAAGCCGCCAUGAGAGGAUCAUUGUAAUCCCACUUGCCUGAUACUUGUUGAGCCACCAAAUCCAAGUCGCCAAAGCACCUUACCCGGCUCAAGCUCAUCUCCUUAGCCAUCCGAAGACCAUGGAGCAAAGCCUCAUACUCUGGUGCGUUGUUAGUACAGGGAAACAUCAACCAUAGUACAUAACAAAAUUUGUCACCUCGAGGGGAAGCUAAAACAACUCCAGACCCCGAGCCCUCUAAUUGCCUGGACCCAUCAAAAUGAAUAGUCCAAUAUGUGUUGUCCGGCUUCUCUUCAGGCAUCUGCAGCUCUGUCCAAUCAUUGAUGAAGUCCACUAGUGCUUGAGAUUUGAUGGCAGUACGUGGCACAUACUUUAAACCAUGAGGCCCAAGCUCAAUGGCCCACUUGGCAACUCGUCCUAUGGCUUCUCUAUUUUGAAUAAUAUCUCAUAAAGGAGGAGAGCUAAACACAGUGACAGGAUGACCCUGGAAAUAAUGCUUAAGCUUCCGGCUCGCCAUGAACACCCCAUAAACAAGUUUCUGCCAAUGUGGAUAUCUCUGUUUGGACUCAAUGAGCACCUCACUGACGUAGUAAACCGGCCGUUGAAUCGGAUAUUCCUUGCCAGCCUCUUUGAGCUCUACGACAAUGGCCACACUGACAACACAUGUGUUAGCAGCCACAUAUAACAAUAAUGGCUCCUUAUCAAUGGGAGCAGCAAGAACCGACGGCUCGGUGAGCUGUCUUUUCAAAUCUUCAAAGGCAGAGUUAGCAGCAUCACCCCAGACAAAAUCAUCUGUCUUCUUCAUCAUUUGAUACAGCGGUAUAGCCUUCUCACCUAACCGGCUUAUGAACCGGCUUAAAGCUGCAACACGACCUGCCAAUCGCUGAACAUCAUUGAUGCACGCCGCUUUAGCCAAAGAUGUAAUCGCUUUGAUUUUCUCCGGGUUAGCCUCAAUGCCUCUGUUAGAAACCAAAAAAACCCAAAAGCUUGCCCGCCGGCACUCCAAAAACGCACUUGGUCGGGUUAAGCAUCAUCUUGUAGACCCGGAGGUUAUCGAAGGUUUCUUCAUGUCAUCUAUCAAGGUCUCCUUCUCUCUGGACUUCACCACUAUAUCGUCCAUGUAAGCAUGAACAUUGCACCCAAUAUGAUUGUGAAGACAGUUCUGCACACAUCGCUGAUAAGUCGCCUGGGCACUUUUGAGCCGAAAAGGCAUAGACACAUAGCAGAAGGCUCCAAACUGAGUAAUAAAAGUCGUCUUCUCCUAGUCCUUAAUUGCCAUCUUGAUCUGAUGAUAACCAGAAUAAGCAUCCAAAAAGCUCAAAUGCUCACAACCCGCCGUAGCAUCAAUGAUUUGAUCAAUACGAGGGAGAGCGAAAGGAUCAUCCGGACAUGCCUUGUUUAAGUCCGUGUAAUCCACACACAUACGCCAGGUGCCGUUCUUUUUAAGCACGAGCACCGGGUUAGCCAACCACUCUGGAUGAAAAACUUCAAUAAUGAACCCGGACGCCAAGAGCCGGGCCACCUCUUCACCAAUGGCCUUGCGCCUUUCCUCAUUGAACCACCAUAGAAACUGCUUGACCGACUUAAAUUUUGUAUCAAUGUUGAGAGUGUGCUCAGCGAGUUCUCUCAGUACAACCGGCAUGCCAGAAGGUUUCCAUGCAAAGAUGUCCUGGUUCUCACGGAUGAACUCGAUGAGCAUGAUUUCCUAUUUGGGAUCCAGAUUAGCACUGAUACUAAACUACUUAGAUGAGUCACGUGGAACAAAAUCAACCAGCUUAGUGUCAUCAACGGACUUAAACUUCAGCAACGGCUCAUGCUUUGUAGUUGGCUUUUUCAAAGACGUCAUGUCCACCGGGUCAACAUUAUCCUUAUAGAACUUUAACUCCUCUGUUGCACAAACAGAUUCAGCAUAAGCAGCGUUGCCUUCCUCACAUCCAAGGCUAUCUUCCGACUCCCAUGCACCAUGAUAGUACCCUUACGACCCGACAUUUUGAGCUGUAAAUAAACAUAACAUGGCCGUGCCAUGAACUUGGCAUAAGCCGGUCGUCCAAAUAGGGCAUGAUACGGGCUCUUGAUUUUGACCACCUCAAAGGUUAGUUUCUCGGCCCUGGAAUCAUGCUCAUCUCCAAAGGCUACCUCUAGCUCAAUCUUACUCACUGGGUAUGCCGACUUACCAGGCACCACUCCAUGAAAAACAGUGUUGGACGUCUUAAGACUUUUGUCAGUGAAUCCCAUGCGACGGAAAGUCUCAUAAUAGAGGAUGUUGAUGCUACUGCCUCCGUCCAUGAGUACUUUAGUGAAUUUAUAUCCACCAACCUGAGGUGCCACCACCAAAGCCAGGUGACCCAGAUUGUCAACCCGGGGAGGGUGACCCCCCCUACUCCAUAAAAUAGGCUGCUCAGACCAUCUCAAAUAACGAGGGACUGCCGGCUCAACAACAUUCACAGCCCUCUUAUGAAGCUUCUGGUCCCGUCUGCACAAACUGGUGGUGAACACAUGAUACUAUUCACUAUUCAACUGCUUUGGAUUGCUCGGGUAUCUAAAUUGCUGUUGCUGACCUCGUUGGCCAGAUUGCUGACUGUACCCACCUUGAUUUCCUUGAGAGCCUUGAAAAUUGGAAUCUGAACCGCCGCCCGAACCAUGAAAACUGCUGCCACCUAAGCCUCUGCCCGGCCCAUGAUUGCUAUUGAACAUGUUAGAGUUCUUGAAAGCCUUCAUGAUCGUACAAUCCUUCCACAGGUGAGUGGCCGGUUUCUGCUGAGUACUGUGCCUUGGACAAGGUUCAUUUAACAGUUGCUCAAGAGUGGGAUCUGACCCGCCGGACCGAGGAGGUGGCCUCCCCAUACGUCGCUGAUUGUUUCCCUGUGUAUUGGUGUUAGCCACAAACUCCAAACUACCGUUAGCCUUAUGUUUAUUAUUGCCUCCCUAAUUUACCGGGUUAUGCUGAUGACCCUUGCCGUUCUUCUUCCCCUUCCCUGUCUUCUCCUCGUCAGACUCAGGAUCCUUGGUACUAUCAGAGUCGUCAUACUUGACAAGAGCCGCCCUCAGCUGGCCCAUGUCAUUACAAUCGCGUUUGAGCUUCCCCAGCUUCUAUUUUAGAGGCGUAAAAUGACAUUUUUUCUCCAACAUUAAGACUGCAGAGCCGGCAUCCAUCUUAUCAGAUGAAUGUAUUAUGGCUUUGACCCAGCACACCCAAUGGGUCGUGGACUCUCCUUUCUCUUGUUUACAGUUAGUUAAAUCCAAAAUUGACAUGGGCUGCUUGCAUGUGUCUUUAAAAUUCUGAAUAAAUCGGGCUUUUAAUUCUACCCAUGAGCCGAUGGAAUUGGGUGGCAGCCCCUUCAACCAAGUGCGAGCCGUUCCAUCUAACAUCAUGGUGAAGUACUUAUCCAUUGUCGCGUCACUGACCUCCAGUAGCUCCAUGGCCAUCUCGUAGCUUUCAAUCCAUGCCCCUAGCUGUCAAUCAGCGUGUAAUUAGGCACCUUUCGAGGCCCCUUAAAAUCCUUUGGCAAAUGCUCAUUACGCAGAGCCGGCACCAAGCAAGGGACACCUCCUGUCCUUGUGGCCACACCUGCCUCAACAGAGGUCGUCGGAUAAAUCGGAAAAGCCUGGUGAUUCUCCUGCUCAGCUGCCUAUUGAGCCGCCCGCUCAGCCUCUUGGCGGAUCCUAUCAUGGUCUACCAAGUUAAGAGCUCCAUCAUGCACCGGGUCAUGCCCGCGUGGCUGGUCACGGCGUCAGGCGUUGCUUGAAACGGCUGCUGAAUCUAUGUGCCUGCUAUAACUCGGGCUCCGGCUUGGGCGAGGGGUCGAAUGAAUCCUGUCUCGACUAUAAGAAUAAGCCUCCUGCUGGGUCAGAGCCGUCUGAAGAAGUUCUCUGACCCUUCGGGUUUCAAUCGCCGUCGGAGGGUCACCCUCCACUGGGAGAGCCGCCAAUCGCGCUGCCGUAGCGAUCAUGUUCUCCAAAGGGUUAGAAUAAUGACCCAGUGGUGUUGGUACAUAAUGAGGUGUAGCAGUAUUCACACGACGGGGGUUCCAUCACCCAUGGUUGAACCGACGCCCCAGCCCGGGCGUUGCAACCCGGUUCACCUCUGGCGGGUUACUGGGGCCUGCACCAGGUGUGCGGAAGAGGUUUCUAGGAUCAUAAGUCAGAGGCAGACAUGACUGAGCCUUCUGGUGUCUUCUCCUCAUGACCUCGUUUGAUGCGUUUAGAUCCAUCGUGAGCUGAAAAGCCUCUGAUUGAAGCUGCUGAGCUCGAGCAUCCAAAGCCGCCCGCUCUGCAGCCAUCCCGACGUCCUCCGCUGCUAGGUUUACUUUGGCUUGUACUACCUCCUCACAUCACUGUGACACUUCUGCAUCGUGCUGAGCCUAAUCCACCAGUUUAACCACGACAGUCAACAGCGCUGUCAUCCUAUCCAUGAGAUCCAUCAGCACCUGAGCCGGCGGGCACGCAAGGCCUCCUGCCCUGGCCGCUGCUAACCCGGUGGUUAUCGCUGCCGCAGCCGUAGAGUUUUGAACGGGCUGCAUUCUAGUCAUGAAGAUCCCCGCUCUGCUCGGCGGCUCAAAGGGGUCUGGAAUACUGCUGCCAUCGAAACAGCCCCCAAGCCCACCAUCUUGCAGUUGAUACAACGAAUUUGUCUCACCCGUGGGUGACUCGCCAUCAGAUUGGAUGACCGUCUCACCACCAGACACAGAUCUUUCAGAAAAUUCCCCUCCAUGGAUGAAUCCCACGAAGGCACGCUUCACGGCCGACUGAGCCCGGGCGGGUCUCGCACGCUGAGCCAUCUCGACGAUGUCGGUGUAGAUGUCCGUCUCAGGGCCCGGCUCACCAAUCCGGCCGAUGAAGACGUGGAUCCUGCUGAAGGGGACCCGGUACCCAUACUCAAUUGAGCCACCGUCGGGGCCCCAGCCUGCAUCGUCCAUGUAGAGCUUGCCGCGACGACUCUUGGUCAUUCGGCCCACAGCGUAUCCCUUGAGCCCUUCGAAGCUGCCCUUCAAGAAAUCAAAUCCACCGUGCGCUGGCCCCAUGGUGGGCGCCAACUGUCGUGGAAUUGUCACGGCAGAUGUCCUGGUGAAAGGACUUAAUCGUGGAGCCAUCACAACUAGGAAGCUUAAAGGGGUUAAAUGGGACAAAAGACAUGAGAGGUUUAUACUAGUUUGACCCCUUGCAGUGAAGGUAAAGGCCUAGUCCAGUUGAAAUGAUAUUGCUAGGUUUCGAUGACCAAGGAGCAAAUACGCUUAACCUGGCUCUCAAUUUGUUGUUUCUUGUCCUAAGCCGCCGCCGAGUCGUCCCCUUAUAUACACGGUUGAUGCCCUGCGGCCUACAGAGUCCCGGCCGACUCAUACAACAUGUCUGGAUCGGCGACGUAUCUUACAUGCCUUACACUACAAGUCUAUUCAUACACGGCGGUUUAUACGUACGGGCCUUAAGCCGCCUCUGGGUUUGGGCCUAUCGUAAGCCUAACUGUGAACCACCAUCUUGUAUACUCUUGGGUUUCAUUUAGGUAAACCACCAUUGUGGUUGACCCGGCUCCUCCUGAGCGGGUCAUAUCUGGUAGUCAUAUCCCCAACAGUCAUGAUGUUCUUCACGGGGUGGCUUCCUCCAACCUGUUUUCCUGCUUAACAAGCACUGCACAAUCUAUCCUUGUCAAAUAUAACAUCUUUCACUCCAAGGAUAUGAUCACCUUUAAUAAGCUUAUCAAGAUUUCGCAUGCCCACAUGACCUAACCUUCUAUGCCAUAACCAACCUUUAGAAGAUUUAGCAAUUAAGCAAGUUCUAGGUUGAGCCUUUUUAGUGAAAUCAAUGAUGUAUAGAUCACCUCUACGUAUAACAGUAAAGACCAUAUUAUGAUUAUCUCUUCGAAACACUUGGCAAUCUAUUUUAGUAAAUAGGACAUUGAAACCAAAGUCAGCAAGUCUAGAUACGGAAAGUAAAUUAUAUCCAAGGGAUUCAACGAGCAUAACAUUUUGUAUGGAGCUAUCAUGUGAGAUUUCCACCUUACCAAGGCCAACCACCUUACCCUUUGAGUUCUCAACAAAAGUGACAUACUUUUGAGGGCCAUUGUUUUCAGCAAGCUCACGAAACAUAUCCUUGUCUCCGGUCAUGUGAUCGGUACAUCCACUAUCAAGAACCCAUUCCUUUCCUCCAGCCAUGUAGCCGCGAAGAUUAGCCAUAAUACCAAAAUGUCUCAUAGACUCAUCGAGAUCAAAGUCACUAUCAUCAUUCUCAUCAUAGUAUCCAUGUUCAACAUCGUCCUGUGAUUGAUCAAUUCCUAGAGAAAGUGAUUCAUUAGGUAAGUGAUCAUCACAAUGUUCAUCUUUAUGAAUUCUAAUGGCUUCGGAAAUGAUAUUUCUAAUGAUUCCAACAUCUCCUUUGGCACAGAUGAGGUUAGUAAGCUCAAAUAGACAAUCACUAAACUUAGGAUCAUUGGAAUUAUUCUUACUCAAGGCAAUAGACUUAUGAGGAAUCUCAUCUAAGUUUUGCAAGGAAUAGUUUGGAAAUUGUUCCUCAAGAAAUCUCCAUAUGGUGUAGGCACAAUCAAGAGCAGGCAAGCAACUAAACAAGUUUCUAGGAAAACCUCUAGUAAUAAGAUUGAUAGUUCUAAGGUUGUGAAUCAUGUCAAUGGACUCAUCCAAGGUAGGAUGCAAAGGGUCAACAGGGGGUGCACAAGGGCUAGUAAUGUACUUGUUCAAGUGAUAUUUAUUGAAAAUCUUAGGCACCUCAAUUUCCACUCAUGAAAGAAAUCUCCAUCAAGUAUAGACACUCUACGUCUAAGACUCCCCAACGUAGACUCAUCCAUCUUCCUCCAAUGGUGUUUAAACCAAAGCAAUGGAGACCAGAGCUCUGAUACCAAUUGAAAGGAUCGAGAAGAGGUGUCUAGAGGGGGGUUAUUAGACCCUCAACAAAUAAAAGUAACCGUUUUUAAAUUCUUUAAGUUAAGGUGGAGUUUUAGCACAAGUUUAAACAUUCACAAUAAAUUUCAAGGAAGCAUGGCAAGAGUAUAUGGGCAACGGAAAGUAAAGCAUGCAAGUUACAAGAAAGUAAAGGGAUGAGAUUGGAGUGUGCAAACGCAAUUGGAGACAUGGAGAUUUUUGGCGUGGUUCUGAUAGGUGGUGCUAUCAUACAUCCACGUUGAUGGAGACUUCAACCCACGAAGGGUAACGGUUGCGCGAGUCCACGGAGGGCUCCACCCACGAAGGGUCCACGAAGAAGCAACCUUGUCUAUCCCACCAUGGCCAUUGCCCACGAAGGACUUGCCUCACUUGGGUAGAUCUUCAUGAAGUAGGCGAUCUCCUUGCCCUUACAAACUCCUUGGUUCAACUCCAAAAUAUUGACGGAGGCUCCCAAGUGACACCUAACCAAUCUAGGAGACACCACUCUCCAAAAGGUAAUAGAUGGUGUGUUGAUGAUGAAGUCCUUGCUAUUGUGCUUCAAAUAGCAGUCUCUCCAACACUCAACUCUCUCUCAUAGAUUUGGAUUUGGUGGAAAGAUGAUUUGAGUGGAAAGCAACUUGGGGAAGGCUAGAGAUCAAGAUUCUUGUGGUUGGAUUGGAAUAUCUUGGUCUCAACACAUGAGUAGGUGGUUCUUUCCUAGAAAAUGCAUGGUAGAAGUGUAGGCAUGUUCUGAUGGCUCUCUCCACGAAUGAAGGAUGGGAGGAGGGGUAUAUAUAUAGCCUCCACACAAAAUCUAGCCGUUACACACAAUUUACCAAACUCGGUGGGACCGAAUCAUGAAACUCGGUCAGACCGAUUUAGUUCAAAAUGUGAACGUUAGGAUUUUCGAUGGGACUGAUAUGAUCAACUCGGUGGGACCGAUGUGGUAGGGUUAGGGUAAAACCUCAACUCGGUUUGACCGACUACACAAACUCAGUGAGACCGAUUUUGGUAAUGAGCAAAAUAGAGAGUUCAUCAAGCAAACUCGGUGGGACCAAUUGCAUAUCUCGGUGAGACCGAGAUAAUUGCAAUAGGCAAGAGAGAGUUUGCAAGCCCAUCUCGGUGAGACCGAGAUCUCAUCGGUGAGACUGAAUUGAUUAGGGUUUUUGGCAAUGGCUAUGUCACAUGGACUCGGUGGUGCCGGAUUGAUCAAAUCGGUGGGGCCGAGUUUGACUUUAGGUUUGGGACAUAUGUGGAAAUGAGAAAGUGGUUGAGGGCUUUGGAGCAUAUCACUAAGCACUUUGAGCAAGCAAGCCAUUAAGCAAAACCUCAUCCCCUUUUAAUAGUAUUGACUUUCCUAUGGACUCAAUGUGAUUUUGGAUCACUAAAAUGAAAAUGUAGAGUCUUGAGCUUUUGCCAAUCCUUGUCCUUAGCUUCUUGAAGGGGUUCCACAUCCUCUUAUCCAAGCCACUCCACUGUUGAAUUCAUCUGAAAUAUACUAGGUGAAAAUAUUAGUCCAACAAGAGAUAUGUUGACAUUAAUUACCAAAAUUACCGAGGGAGCACUUGUGCUUUUAGCUGCUCAUGGCACGUGAGCUGAUAUGCUACCGCUCGGUCAACGCCAGGCUUGGCCGCAUCACCGAGAUCGUAAACACCGCCGGGAAGCCCCAACGCCCUCCUAGUCGCUUCGUCCUCCAUCAUCUCGUGCUGGGGACGUGGUGCACGACGCGCCUCCUCCUCCUCCUCCUCCCCUGUGUGGCGACAACACCGAACCCUGGCAUGACGCAUGACCGCGUGACCCAUUGCGCGGAGUGCCCGUGCCGGCCCGGGAUGAGGCCAGCUGCCAGAUCGUUCACAGUGUGCUGCUUGAUGCAUGUGUGCUCCUCGAGCGGCAGCACGAGCGCUAGGACCGGAUCAUUCAAGAGAUCGCGGCGGUAGGGUGCCAAAACCAUGCCACUCCCGCAUUCGGCACUCCAUCUAGCAGCGUCGGUUGCCAGGCCUUCACUCGCGAGCUGUGUCGGGUGAUUUGUCUCGUCAUGUUCAAGCCAGAGCUACCCCCAUGCUACGACGACAUCCCCAACCCAACGGAGUUCCUCCAGCUCUAUGAGCUGAGUAUCGAGGCGAGGAACGGCGAUGACAAGGUCACGGUGAACUGGCUUCCCAUGGCCCUCAAGGCUGAUGGAUUCAUGGAGCAAGCUCUGUGACUAGUUCAUCGCCAACUUCAUGGGCACCCACGACCACGCCCUCACCAUUAAUGACCCGCGGUGCAAAGCAGUGCCUUGGUGAGACUCUCCACAAGUACAUUCAGCGCUUCAGCUAGCUGUGCCACAAGAUCUCAUGCCCCUCGAUCGAACGAAGCCAUCAUCUUGGCGUUCUCCAAUGGCGUCAUGGACAACAGGAUGAGCGAGAAGCUCAUCAUUAACGACGAUUUGAGCUCGACGCUGGAGCUGUUCAACAUCGCCGAUAUGUGUGCCAAGGCUGCAGAGGGACACAUUUUCAUCUACAACGACCCCGACACCACGCUCGAUGACCACAAGACCAAGGGCAAGGAGGUGAAAAACAAGGGCCCCGCCAUGUUGGCAGCGGAGCCUGAGCAAAAGUGCGAUCGCGACCGCAAGGAGCCCGAGAAGGACAACCGCCUGUUCUGCGUCUCCCAUAGCAUGCGCACUCACAACACUGAAGACGGUGAGGAGCUGAAGUCACUCUACGACGAGCGCUUGGGCCGUCGUCCACACAACAAUGACCAUGGCGUCGGCCGUGGAGGCGGCCGGGGUGGCGGCUGGUGGGACAACCACAACGGCAACCCACACCAAGGAUGGCGUGACUAGGCUCGCGACGAUGCCUGGAGCGAUCAGCCUUGCGAGGGCGCUUGGCACGAUCAGCCUCGUGAUGGGUAUCCUCAGGCAAACACUUCCCUUCUGUCGCUACCACCGCCACGCAGAAGGAAUGACACCAACCAGCACGACGAGGGGGCUGGGGGCUACCAGGAGCCUCGCGAGAUAGGCUGCAUCCUCGGUGGAGCUCAGGCUCCCACGUCCAAUCGCCUCUUCAAGCAGUUCUCCCGCGAGGUGAAUUCCACCCUCCCAAGGCUUGAGGCCAUGCGGCCCCUCAAGUGGUCGCAGUACGCCAUCAACUUCGAUUCCAAAGACCACCUCAGGUGCUAGGCCACGGCUGGUGCGCUCGCCAUGCUGUGCACUCCCACCAUUAGCAACAUCGCUGUCACCAAGACCCUCAUCGAUGGGGGUGCUGGCCUCAAUGUGAUCUCCAUCACGACCUUCGAGAUGCUCCAAGUGCCCUAUGUCAUGCCCAAUAUGCGACUCUAUCCUAAAGGAACUCGAAGGUCCCACCAAGGAUAGAACCACAUAUUGACACGCUUUUGCAAGGUGGAUAUCAUUACAUCGUACCAUUACAUAACAGUUGGGGAUACAUCCAAAGGGCAUACAAAUGCCACAAGAAUACAUCAAACAUCAUACAUGAGAACAACAUUCGCCUACGGAUGAAACACAAAUAGAAACUGAAAUGACAUCCACCCUACUAGCCCAGGCUGCCGACGAGGAACCUAUCCCAAGAUCGACGAAGAAGAAGAAGAACUCCAAAACAAGUAAACAUCGCUAUCAUGUCAUGAUCAUCGCAUUAACCGUACCUGCAACUGUUCUUGUAGUAAUCUGUGAGCCACAAGGACUCAACAAUCCCAUUACCAUGGGUAUCAAGACUAGCAAAGCUUAAUGCGUAUGGAAUGGAUAAGUGGUGAGGUUGCAACAAGCGACUAAGCAUUGUAUGGUAGCUAACUUACGAGUACAAGAGUAAGAUGAGAAACUACGCAAACAGUCGCAAACUAGUAAUGAUCAAGAAGUGAUCUUCAACUACUUACGUUCAACCAUAACCCCACCGUGUUAUCUUCUCGAUUCACUCUAAAAGAGGCCAUCACGGUUACGCACGCGGUUGGUGUAUUUUAACUAAGUUACUUCAAGUUCACUACAACCGGAUAUUAACAAAUUCCCAUCUGCCACAUAACCAUGGGCAUGGCUCUUGAAAGUUUAAACCAUGCAGGGGUGUCCCAACUUAGCCCAUGACAAGCUCACGAUCCGCGGAGACAAUCUUCCAUCGCAGGACCCUCCGAUAAGACUCGGAAUCCUGGUGCACAAGACAUUUCGACAAUGGUAAAACAAAUAUAGCAAGACCUCUUGAUGUGCCGACACCCUGAUAGUAGCCAUGCGUAUCUCAUCUCCGGCCACGAUCGGAUAAGCGAAGCGUAUAGGAUCCAGAUACCCCAAGUUGCCUAGGGGCGGUCCCUCAUGGUGCUCUAGUUUGAGACCAACACCAUCGGCACUGCCCCCUGUAUGUAGAAAAGAAUCCUAGGGUUCAUGAUGCCUUAUGCCAAUUAAUUAUUUAGUUCAAUAUUAUUAUGGCAAAUGUUAAAACCAAUAUUGGGCCUUGCUGGAAGAGUUUUAUUCAAAGCGAACUGUCAAGAGGGGCCCAUAAACCCUCACCGUGUUAGGGACGCAAAAUCAAGGAACAUAACAUCGGUAUGACGGAAACUAGGGCGGCAAGAGUGGAACAAAAUACCAGGCAAAAGGCCGAGCCUUCCACCCUUUACCAAGUAUAUAGAUGCGUUAAGUAAAUAAGAGAUAUUGUGAUAUCCCAUGAUAUCCAUGUCCCAACAUGGAACAACCUGCAACUAGCAAUGCUAUAAGAGGGACUAAGCAAAGCCGUAACAUAGCCAAACAAUGGUUUGCUAGGAAGGGUGAAAAGGUUAGAGGCUAUCAUGGCAAUUGGGGAGGCUUGAUAAACAAGUGGUAGGUAGCGCGACAUAGCGAUAGCAUCGAGACAACUAGAAUAGAAAAGAUAGUAGGGAGAUCCAAGGUGAAGAUCAUCUUGCCUGAAAUCCUGCUAGGAAGAAGAACGAGUCCAUGAAGAAUACGAACGGGCGUAGUCGAACAAAUCCUCAUGACCGCAACGAAACAGGAACAAUCGAGAAGGAGCACAACCUGAAAGAAGCAAACAACAUGGUAAACACACAACACAUAAACAUGACAUGAUGCUCAACCAAGUAUGAUGCAUGACAAGUCUAAAUGAUGCUACUCAUGGCAAGAGAUGAUGCAUACAAGAUCGACACAUCAAAGCAAGUUUAAAUGAGGCCGAGAACAACAUAAACCAAUUCCGGAAACUCCCCAUACGCAAAUUUGAAAAUUGGUUCAGAUCUGAAUAACAUAUUAUGUUAAAGUUGUUAUAAAUUAAGUUAAAGUGCACCAAUAUGAUCUAUGCGGUUUUCUAGUCAAGUUACAUAUAAAGUUCAUUCAAUUGGGAGCUACGACCUAGAAGAUAUGAGCAAAACAAGUUAAAUAUGGCAUUGAUGCAAUUGCAAGCAAAACAACAUCACAAACACUCCAAAACAAGGAUGCAACAAGGUAACAUGAAACUACAUGCAAAACCAAGCAAGUUUCAUGUAGAGCAUGCUCCAAACGGAGCCACGGUUCAACACAUGCACACGAAACAAGUUUAAAGGAUAAGCUGUCCAAAACAGCAACUAGGCAUCUUACAAGCAUCAACACAACAUGCUACAAGAACAAGAUAGGCACAAACAUGAUAUGAACUCAAAUUACAGAUUACAUGCUUCAAUUAUUAUCAAGGUUCAGGUUCAUAGGCAUCCGGAUUAAACCAAUGUGAUCAAUGCAAUAAGCAACUUUAUAGCACAGAUUAUGACUUAGUGAAAAACAGGGCAUACAUGUGAGCAGAAAUAACAUGUUGACAUGUUGGAGGAAUGAAACAAUGAGACCAUAGAGCAAGAACAUAACAAGCAAAAGCAUGGCGUUAAAGUACAUUUUAAACAUGGAAAAACAUAAUUACUAAGCAUCUCCAUAUAACCUCCAGAUCAAUGGCAUUCAUCAAGGGAAGUAAGCAAGUCAUAGCAGAUUCUUAGACUUAGUGAAAGGCUACAAGGGAUAAAAAUAAAGGAAACUGUACCCGACCAGGGAUGGACGUAAACUUGUAAGCUACCGAGGGUAGGGAUAAUCGUCCAGGUCUUAUUUUAAAAAAAAGCCGCCCGCCACUGCAGGCAGGUUAGUUCCUCUGUCGUUGCCGGAGAGUUCUUGGCGAAGAGACCUUAGGAUAAGUUGCUAAAACAAACGGAGGGGAGGAUCGACCCGUUCAGUAGAAUUCCGAAAAAAGACUGUUGGAAGCAGGUGGAGACAUUUCUUUGCCCCCCUUCCAAAUAAAUGCGGGCAGGGUAGAGCUCGGCAGAGGGUUCGAGAAUAGGGCAGGGUUUUUGACGGUCGGGUCCCCUACCAACAAAGGAAGGCUGAAAACAGAUUCUUGAUGCAUACUUUGAGACAACAAAAAUAUAUGCUACAGGAACAUUUCAUGGCAUCAAAGGGAAUCGCAAGCAUGUAUAAGUAGAGCACUACAAAACAUGAUCACUGAGCUACUGCUAGAAAAUAAUAGAACAUGCUGAAAACAUCAUGGCAAGAUUGCAAAUGAUAAGAGACUCACAGACAGUGCAACAAACUGAGCAUGGUAGGAAUAGCGACAAGCAGGCAUGUUUGCAAGCUCGUCCAACUCAACUCAAAGCAUAUCAUGGAAAAUGAAUGUACCCAACAGCAAGGAGGCAUAUUUAUACAACUACUAAUGGCAAGAACAUGGUCAUAGGAUGCAUAGAUCACUAGCUAUUUACAUGGCAAGAAUGAACUUACUGUUAACAGACUGACAGGAACAUUAUUUAGCAAUUUGAGAGCAUGAAAACAACAAGCUACAUCAGUCUAUAAAUGCAAACAAGAGCAUGGAUGGAUAGAGAAUAACAACAACUACAAAACAUCCUUACUGAGCAUCUCCAGAUUAUGCAUGGAUUUACUUGUAGCUUCAAGUUAACAUGGCAAGAUAAUGUAACAGUUACAGACAUUUUACUAAGUCUCAGAAAACAGCAAACAUCAAGUAGCACACUUUGCAAGCUUGUGCUAGUCACCACAGGGCACAUAAAAAUGGAUGGAUUGCUCCACUGCAAGGAUGUCAUGAAUAUGCUUCUAAAACAUGUUGACAUGAUGCUCAAAAGAUAAACACACAAAAUGCUAUGAAAAAGACAAAUCAGCAAGUUAUGACAACUUCCAGCAGAUUAUAACAUUUAGCACUUUUUCAACAAGUAUUAAGGCAUUAAUGUGAACCCUAACAUGCAAGCAAACUACACCAUCAUUUAGAGCACUCAAAGAUGAACAUAUUGACAUAUCAUGGACACAAAACAGAGCAAUAUGCAUGGAGGUAUGAUCAUCGCAAAAUGCACACAAGAUGCUGAAAAUCUAGGGACUUAGCCGAUUUUUAAUAGAAAACAGAGGGAGCAACAUAUAGCUACAUGACGCCCAUGCGAGGAAUAGCAGGUUGAUGCUCACCUAGGGCCCUUGGGCUAGUCGGUGACGGAUCAGGGAAAAACCGUGCACAAGGCGGUUUUGCGACGGUUCACCGGGAGGGGGGGGCGAUGAGAACCAGACCGGUCUGAUUUGGGGCGAACCGGGCCCACACGAAAGUGCCUCCUAGGGAGUCAACACGGUGACCGAUCCAGAUCAGAUCAAUCUCGCGGGACGAGGCAGAGGCGGCAGCGCACCGGAUCUCUGGCGAGCAGGCGACGAUGGGGUCGAGCAGAAGAUGGCGGGGAUGGGCAGCACACGGCCGGAUCCGGUGGCAGGCAACCGAAUCGGGGCAUGGGCGGCGCUCCGACAUAGGAGGUUAGCCGGCGGGGAGUCCCGGUGAGCUCGCAAGGGAGCUCCUGCGUGGGCGCGCCAUGGCGCCGGGAGGCGAUGGCUGGCGUUGGUGUCAGGCGCGGCGUGGGACGGUGAUGGUCCGCAGCAGGAGGCGGUGAGGCGUAGCCGGGCGCGGCGUGACGCUCGAGAGGAGCUCANNNNNNNNNNNNNNNNNNNNNNNNNNNNNNNNNNNNNNNNNNNNNNNNNNNNNNNNNNNNNNNNNNNNNNNNNNNNNNNNNNNNNNNNNNNNNNNNNNNNNNNNNNNNNNNNNNNNNNNNNNNNNNNNNNNNNNNNNNNNNNNNNNNNNNNNNNNNNNNNNNNNNNNNNNNNNNNNNNNNNNNNNNNNNNNNNNNNNNNNNNNNNNNNNNNNNNNNNNNNNNNNNNNNNNNNNNNNNNNNNNNNNNNNNNNNNNNNNNNNNNNNNNNNNNNNNNNNNNNNNNNNNNNNNNNNNNNNNNNNNNNNNNNNNNNNNNNNNNNNNGGAUGGGCAGCGGCGCGGCGCGGGCGGCUCGGGUCCAGAUCGGCCCGGGGCGGGCCACGGAUGGGCUCCGGCAGGCCCGUGCGGUGGAGGGAGCUAGUGGGCGAUGUGGUAAGGCUGGAUUGGCUGGGGGCGAUGCUAGGUGGUGGCGUUGGCCUCUGGGCCGGCGACAAGUGGCGGCGUGGAAGCAGUUGGGCAUGGAAAACAAGGAGGGAGACAGCGGCGAUUGCGGUGGAGGGAGGAGGUAGGUGGUUUUGGCUAGGGUUGCCUGAAAUGGACGACGGGGAUGCCCGUUUAUAGGUAGGAGGGGCUAGGAGAGGUUUUUUUGCUCCGUUUAGGAGCCGUUCGAUCGCCAUCGGACGGUCCGGAGCGGAGGGGGGUAGGUAGGUUGGCUAGAUGGGCUGUGUAAGAGGCCUUGAGAUGAUAGAGGAGAAGAGAGAGAGAGAGAGGCCUGACGACUGUUUUCGGAUACCGAAAACGUACAACGUUAGACCGACUAUAUUGCGGCUAUGGUUAUCCGGUGGGGCAUCAAACGAACUCCAAAUGCGAUGAAAUUUGGCAGGUGGUCUGCGGACAACCUAGCAACAUCGCACGCCAACUCUCAUCCCAUUUUCAGAACAUUUUUAUCCACUUAUAAAAUAAUAAUUCGGAGGUGCCGCAGGCGCGUGCGAGUGUGGUUGGACUCAGAACGGGCAACAGAGUGAACUGGGAGACUGGGAUGGAUGCAAGUUUUGUAAAACAUGCAGAUGAAAUGCACAUGAUGACAUGGCAACAUGCAACACACAAGUGAAUGACAUGGCAACGAUGAUGAAUGACUGGAAGACACCUGGCGCAUCGGACUCGGGGCCUUACAACUCUCUUCCACUAACUGAACAUCUCAUCCCGAGAUCUUAGGAACAAGACGAAAGAGAAAUAAGUUAAGGAGGAAUAGGAGCGCAAAAGAGAGGUGAAGAAGACCGAGAGCACUCGGGUAGAAAAUAGGAACGGUGUUUAUGACGAGAAUCAAAAGCUCAAGGAGUUGAUAGACUCUGAAACCACUCCGGUUAGAACAAGAUAGAGAAGGAAUACGAACGAAAGAAUUGUGAUAACAUCUCGGUUGGACAUGGAAUGGAAUAGAACAUGAACUUGACAAGAUGGAAUGAUACUUGACGAGAGGAACAACACAAUGCCUCCGGAAGAAUUGAAAGAGUGCAAUGAAAAGAACGGAGAAGAAGAUGACAUCUUCUACCACAAAAGAAUUUGGAAGAGAAUCUUCAAGAGAAAGACUUGAAUGCAGUUGUUGAAGAAUCAACAACAAAAGAUUUGAUGACAAGCAGUUGCAUGUUUGAUGUGGUUCUGUAACAAGAUGAAUUAGAACACUUGGAACCCUCGCGGAUAUAGCUACCACAAGGGCUCUUUCCCACUCAAUAGAUUUAUCCCUUCGUUACGGCGGUUGAGUGUACCUGCCGAUAGCUGAGAAUGAAGAAAUACAACACUCCAUUUCAAAAGAAUAUGGAGAAUUAUUUGCACUUCGAGACACAAGAGGAAAGAUACUUGCGCUCCUUGAAUAAAAACCUUGAUGAACACUUGCGGAAUGAAUUAAAUUAUGACGAACCACCAUGAAGAACCCAGUAACAAAAGGAUGAUGAGAUAGAAUUGAAGGAUGAAAAAAUAAGAUUAAGCCUUGCGAUGAUUUAGAUGGGGGUUCUGAUGAGAUGCCUGAGGAAACUUUGAACUCCGGAAAAGAAAAGAUGUAAACACUUGGGAUUAGAGUUUAUUCAUCAUGAACAAAUUCCGAAGGAAGGGAUUACUCAACUUAAUGAAAGAAGAAUAAGAAUAAUGUUAUGCUUAGCCUUCAUCAACUAAAUUGAUGAGAAGCAAUGGAUUUGCAUACUACUUAUUCUCGUUGAUGGAGAUUAAGGGGAGAUAUAGCACAAAUGUUGAGAAAGUCUCCAUGAACCACCGGUAGGAUUGGAUAGAACGAAUGAAUUAAUGUGAUAAGAAUGGAAGUGAAAAUCUUAAACGAACCACCAUGAGAAUUGAAACGGAUGAUGAAAGAGAAUGAAUCGUCGGAAAGAGAUAUAACAUGAACAAAGAUACUUGUGGAAUAUCGAAACACCGGAAGAAUUGAGAACGCGAAAAGAAUGCCGUGAAUGAAGAAUUCUUCUGAAGUGAUGGCCUUCGGUGAAACGAAACGAAAAAUAACUCCUGAAUACUCCGGAUGGGUGAGAAAAUAAUUCUUGACGAUCGAAACAAAAUAAGAGGAUAGCAACAAGCGAGCGCCACAAAUCCCCGAGAGAAUGGACAAGAUUUAGAGGAAAACUCUUCUUCGGUCUUCAAAUGUUGAGAAUGAUGACGAGGAACACCACCAAAAUUGUUGAGAUACUCCAGGAGAAUGAAAAGCAAAGAGGUUGAGCCAAUAAUGAAAAUAAUUUGAAAUCGAUCUUGGAAAAGCAUAUAACUGAUGAAAUCCAUACUUACGUCAUACUUCGAAAAGAAUUUGGGAAUAACUCCGAAAAAUUAGAAGAGUCAGGUAAGAUCCUGGGAAAAAACCCAUGGGUUAGGGCCCACUUAAAAGAAGCACCAUUGGAAAGGAUUGUUCAAAUGAGAAAUGAUGCACUAGAACGAUUGAAAGACUCAUAUGAGGUGACAACCUCGAAUUAAUUUGAACACAAACACAAAACUUCUGAGAUGUCUUGAGCACUCUAGAAGGAUAAACUGGCGAGAGGCGAACAAGCAAGGGAAAACACUUGAGUCGAGGAAAGGAAUAUGAUCAACAACGAAAAACUUGAAUUGGAUCCACCAGAAAGAAAACAAGACGAACAAUGAUUAGCUAGAUGAGAAUUCAUCGGUUGAGAUAAUUGAGAAAAGAAUGAAGAGGCUCCGCACGAAUUAAAUUGAUGCUCGAAUAGAGGCUCAAACUCUGGGAAGAAAAGGGGUGGGAGGAGGGGAACAAAGGAAACUUGGAAUGGGAAAUCGAUGAAUAAUCUUGAAGGGAAAAACACCGCUUGAAAUAUUUGCGGAAGGAAUGCAAAGGCUUCGCACGAGUAGGAUGGAUACUCGAUUACGGACUCCAGCUCCGAGAGGAAAAAGGGUGGGCGGGUGGGAAAAAUAAAGACAACUUCGGACGUGGAAACAACGUCGUUGAGAAAGAACUGAGGAUUGACUCGCAAAAGACUACGAGGGUCGAGUCAACUCGAAGAGAAGUGCGCUGGAUGAAAAGAGUUUACAUCGCAAGGAACGAAAACUAACUGCGUGAUCCUAGAUAAAGUUUGAAGGGGAAGAGGAGUAAUUCAAAACACCUACGUCAAGAUUUCUCUCUAGCGCGACGAAGGGCUGAGGAGUAAAAAGAAUUCCUACUCUCUGAUAUAACUAGACUCCUAAAAUGGUUUUCUUCUAGGCUCGACAACAGCCAACUACGAACAAUCAAGGGGGCUCCUAUGGUCGGUCGAGGCUCUGAUACUAACUUGUCACACCCAAUAUGUGACUCUAUCCUAAAGGAACUCGAAGGUUCCACCAAGGAUAGAACCGCAUAUUGACACGCUUUUGCAAGGUGGAUAUCAUUACAUCGUACCAUUACAUAAUAGUUGGGGAUACAUACAAAGGGCAUACAAUUGCCACAAGAAUACAUCAAACAUCAUACAUGAGAAGAACAUCCGACUACGAAUGAAACACAAACAGAAACUCAAACGACAUCCACCCUGCUAGCCCAGGCUGCUGACGAGGAACCUAUCCCAAGAUCGAAGACGACGAAGAAGAACUCCAAAACAAGUAAACAUUGCUCUCACGUCAUGAUUAUCGCAUUACCUGUACCUGCAACUGUCGUUGUAGUAAUCUGUGAGCCACGAGGACUCAGCAAUCCCAUUACCAUGGGUAUCAAGACUAGCAAAGCUUAAUGGGUAUGGAAUGGAUAAGUGGUGAGGUUGUAGCAAGCGACUAAGCAUUGUAUGGUGGCUAACUUACGAGUACAAGAGUAAGAUGAGAAACUAUGCAAACGGUCGCAAACUAGUAAUGAUCAAGAAGUGAUCCUGAAAUACUUACGUUCAAGCAUAGCCCCACCAUGUUCUCUUCUCGAUUCACUCGAAAAGAGACCAUCAUGGUUACGCACGCGGUUGGUGUAUUUUUAUUGAGUUUACUUCAAGUUCACUACAACUAGAUAUUAACAAAUUCCCAUCUACCACAUAACUGCGGGCAUGGAUCUUGAAAGUUAAAACCCUGCAGGGGUGUCCCAACUUAGCCCAUGACAAGCUCAUGAUCCGCGGAGACAAUCCUCCAUCGUGGGACCAUCUGAUCAGACCCGAAAUCCCGGUGCACAAGACAUUUCGACAGUGGUAAAACAAAUUUAGCAAGACCUCCCAACGUGCCGACACCCUGAUAGUAGCCGCGCGUAUCUCGUCUCAGGCCACGAUCGGAUAAGCGAAGUGCACAGGAUCUAGAUACCCCAAGUUGCCUAGGGGUGGUCCCGCACGGUGCUCUAGUUUGGGACCAACACCAUCGGCACUGGCCCCCCUGUAUGUAGAAAAGAAUCCUCGGGUUCAUGACGCCUUAUGCCAAUUAAUUAUUUAGUUCAAUAUUAUUAUGGCAAAUGUUAAAACCAAUGCUGGGCCUUGCUGGAAGAGUUUUAUUCAAAGCUAACUAUCAAGUGGGGCCCAUAAACCCUCACUGUGUUAGGGACGCAAAAUCAAGGAACAUAACACCGGUAUGAUGGAAACUAGGGCGAUAAGACUGGAACAAAAUACCAGGCAAAAGGCCGAGCCUUCCACCCUUUACCAAGUAUAUAGAUGCGUUAAGUAAAUAAGAGAUAUUGUGAUAUCCCAUGAUAUCCAUGUCCCAACAUGGAACAACCUGCAACUAGCAAUGCUAUAAGAGGGACUGAGCAAAGCCGUAACAUAGCCAAACAACGGUUUGCUAGGAAGGGUGAAAAGGUUAGAGGCUAUUAUGUCAAUUUGGGAGGCUUGAUAAACAAGUGGUAGGUAGCGCGACAUAGCGAUAGCAUCGAGACAACUAGCAUAACAAAGAUAGUAGGGAUAUCCAAGGUGAAGAUCAUCUUGCCUGAAAUCCCCUAGAAAGAAGAACGAGUCCAUGAAGAAGAUAAACGGGCAUAGUCGAACGAAUCCUCACGAUCGCAACGAAACAUGAACUAUUGAGAAGGAGCCCAACCGGAAAGAAGCUAACAACAUGGUAAUACACAACACAUAAACAUGACGUGAUGCUCAACCAAGUAUGAUGCAUGAAAAGUCUAAAUGAUGCUACUCAUGGCAAGAGAUGAUGCAUACAAGAUCAACACAUCAAAGAAAGUAUAAAUGAGGCCGAAAACAACAUAAACUGAUUUCGGAAACUCCCCAUAUGCAAAUUUCGAAAUUGGUUCAGAUCUGAAUAACACAUUAUGUUAAAGUUGUUAAACAUCAAGUUAAAGUGCACCAAGAUGAUCUACGUGGUUUUCUAGUCAAGUUACAUAUAAAGUUCAUUUAAUUCAGAGCUAUAGUCUAGAAGAUAUGAGCAAAACAAGUUAAACAUGGCAUUGAUGCAAUUGCAAGAAAAAAUUAUCACAAACACUCCAAAACAAGGAUGCAACAAGGUAUCAUGAAACUACAUGCAAAACCAAGCAUUUUUUAUAUAGUGCAUGCUCCAAACGGAGCCACGGUUCAACACAUACACACGAAACAAGUUUAAAGGACAAGCUGUCCAAAGCAGCAACUAGGCAUCUUACAAGCAUCAACACAACAUGCUACAAGAACAAGAUAGGCACAAACAUGAUAUUAACUCAAAUUAUAGAUUACAUGCUUCAAUUAUUGUCAAGGUUCAGGUUCAUAGGCAUCAGGAUUAAACCAAUGUGAUCAAUGCAAGAAGCAACUUUAUAACACAGAUUAUGACAGUGAAAAAUAGGGCAUACAUGUGAGCAGAAAUAACAUGUUGACAUGUUGGAGGCAUGAAACAAUAAGGCUACAGAGCAAGAACAUAACAAGCAAAAGCAUGGCAUUGAAUUAUAGGUUAAACAUGGCACACCAGGAUUACUAAGCAUCUCCAUAUAACCUCUAGAUCAAUGUCAUUCAUCAAGUGAAGUAAGCAAGUCAUAAUAGAUUCUCAGACUUAGUGAAAAAUAGAGGAAGGCUGAAAACAGAUUCAUGAUGCAUACUUUGAGACAACAAAAGUGUAUGCUAAAGGAACAUUUCAUGGCAUCAAAGGGCAUGGCAAGCAUGCACAGGUAGAGCACUACAAAACAUGAUUACUGAGCUACUGCUAGAAAACACCAGAACAUGCUCAAAAAAUCAUGGAAAUAUUGCAAAUGAUAACAGAUUCAAAGACUUGUGAAAUAAACUGAACAUGGCAGGAGCAGCGACCAGCAGGCAUGUUCGCAAGCUCGUGCAACUCAACUCAAAGCAUACCAUGGCAAGUGAAUGUACCCAACAACAAGGAGGCAUAUUUUUCCAGCUACUCAUGGCAAUAACAUGGUCAUAGGAUGCAUAGAUCACUAUCUAUUCACAUGGCAAAAAUGAACUUAGUGUUAACAGACUGAUAGAAACAUUAUUUAGCAAUUUGAGAGCCUGAAAACAACAAGCUACAACAGGCUAUAAAUGCAAAAAAGAGCACGAAUGGAUAGAGAAUAACAAGAUCUACAAAACAUCCUUACCGCGCAUCUCCAGAUUAUGCAUGGAUUCACUUGCAGCAUCAAGUUAACAUGGCAACAUAAUGUAAUAGUUACAGACUUAACAGAUUUUACUAAGUCCCGGAAAAUAGCAAACAUCAAGUAGCACACUUCGCAAGCUUGUGAUAGUCACCACAUGGCACAUAAAAAUGCAUGGAUUGCUCCACUGUAAAGCUGGCAUGAAUGUUCUUCUAAAACAUGUUGACAUGAUGCUCAAAAGAUAAACACAUAAAAUGCUAUGAAAAAGACAAAUCAACAAGUUAUGACAACUUCCAGCAGAUUAUAACAUUUAGCACUUUUGCAACAAGUAUUAAGGCAUUAAUAUGAACCCUAACAUGCAAGCAAACUACACCAUUGUCUAGAGCACUCAGAGAUGAACAUAUUGACAUAUCAUGCAUGCAAAACGAAGCAAUAUGCAUGGAGUUAUGAUCAUCGCAAAAUGCACAGAAGAUGUUGAAAAUCUAGGGACUUAGCCAAUUUUUAACAGACAACAGAGCGAGCAACAUAUAGCUACAUGGCGCCCAUGUGAGGAAUAGUAGGUUGAUGCUCAACUAGGGCCCGUGGGCCGGUCGGUGAUGGAUCUGGGAAAAACCAGGCAUAGGGCAGUUUUGCGAUGGUUCACCAAGGGGGGGGGGCGAUAAGAACCAGGCCGGUCUGAUUCAGGGCGAACCAGGCCCACACGAUAACGUCUCCUGGGGGGUCAACGCGGUGACCGAUCCAGAUCGGUCGACCCCGUGGGACGAGGCAGAGGCGGCGGCGCACCGGAUGUCCGGUGAGCAGGCGACGACGGGGUCGAGAGGAGGAUGGCAGGGAUGGGCAGAAGACGACCGGAUCCGGCGGCAGGCAGCCGGAUUGGGGCACGGGGCGGCGCUCCGGCAUGGGAGGUCAGCCGGCGGGGAAUUUUGGCGAGGGAGCUCCUGCGCGGGUGCGCCAUGGCGUCGGGGAGGCAAUGGCUGGCGUCGGCGGCAGGUGCGGCGUGGGGCAGCGAUGGCGCACAGCAGGCGGCGGCAAGGCGGAGCCGGGCACGGCGCGGGCCAGCCGAUGGCGGCGCGGCACUCAAGAGGAGCUCAGGUCGAGCAGGGAGAUCGGGGUCUAUGGACGGUCGCUAGGGACGGGCAGCGGCGCGGCGCGGGCGCCUCAGGCCCAGAUCGGCCCGGGGUGGGCCGCGGAUGGGCUCCGAUAGGCCCAUGCGGUGGAAGGAGCAGGCAGGCGAUGUGGCAAGACCGGAUUGGCUGCAGGCGGCGCUAGGUGGUAGCGCUGGCCUCUGGGCCGGCGACAAGUGGCGGCGGGGAAGCGGUUGGGCAUGGAAAACGAGGAGGAAGAUGGCGGCAGUUGCGGGGGAAGGAGGAGGUUGGUGGUUUUUGCUAGGGUUGCUUGAAAUGGACAAGGGGGGGGGGUGCCCAUUUAUAGGUAGGAGGGGCCAGGAGAGGUUUUUUUUGCUCCGUUUCGGAGCCGUUUGAUCGCCAUCGGACGGUUCGGAGUGGAGGGGAUAGGUAGGUUGGCUAGAUGGGCUGUGUAGGAGGCCUUGGGAUGAGAGAAGAGAAGAGAGAGAGGCCCGACGGCUGUGUUCGGAUACCAAAAAUGUCUGACGUUAGACCGACUAUAUUGCAGCUAUGGUUAUCCGGUGGGGCAUCAAACGAACUCCAAAUGUGAUGAAAUUUGGCAGUUGAUACGUCUCCAACGUAUCUCCUUUUCCAAACACUUUUGCCCUUGUUUCGGACUCUAACUUGCAUGAUUUGAAUGGAACUAACCCGGACUGACACUGUUUUCAGCAGAAUUACCAUGGUGUUAUUUAUGUGCAGGAGCAAACAUUCUCGGAAUGACCUGGAACUUCACGGAGACACUUUUCAGAACAUAAGAAAAAUACCUGCAAAAUAUGAAGGCCAGGGGCCCACCACCUCUCUACGAGGGUGGGGGGCGCGCCUGCCCCCCUAGGGCGCGCCCCCUACCUCGUGGGCCCCCUGUUGCCUCUCCGACUCCAACUCCACCUCCACAUAUUGAGUUUUGGGGACAAAAAAUUAGAGAGAAGAAAUCAUCGCGUUUUAUGAUACGGAGCCACCGCCAAGCCCUAAAACCUCUCGGGAGGGCUGAUCUGGAGUCCGUUCGGGGCUCCGGAGAGGGGAAUCCGUCGCCAUCGCCAUCAUCAACCAUCCCGCAUCACCAAUUUGAUGAUGCUCGCCGCCGUGCGUGAGUAAUUUCAUCGUAGGUUGCUGGACGGUGAUGGGUUGGAUGGGAUCUAUCAUGUAACCGAGCUAGUUUUGUUAGGGUUUGAUCCCUAGUAUCCACUAUGUUCUGAGAUUGAUGAAGCUAUGACUUUGCUAUGCUUAAUGCUUGUCACUAGGGCCCGAGUGCCAUGAUUUCAGAUCUGAACCUAUUAUGUUUUCAUCAAUAUAUGAGUGUUCUUGAUCCUAUCUUGCAAGUCUAUAGUCACCUAUUAUGUGUUAUGAUCCGUUAACCCCGAAGUGACAAUAAUCGGGAUACUUACCGGUGAUGACCAUAGUUUGAGGAGUUCAUGUAUUCACUAUGUGUUAAUGCUUUGUUCCAGUUCUCUAUUAAAAGGAGGCCUUAAUAUCACUUAGUUUCCGUAAUGACCCCGCUGCCACGGGAGGGUAGGACAAAAGAUGCCAUGCAAGUUCUUUUCCAUAAGCACGUAUGACUAUAACCGGAAUACAUGCCUACAUUAUAUCAAUGAACUGGAGCUAGUUCUGUGUCAGCCUAGGUUAUGACUAUUACAUGAUGAACCGUAUCCGACAUAAUUCUCCAUCACCUAUCCAUUGCCUACGAGCUUUCCAUAUAUUAUUCUUCGCUUAUUUACUUUCCCGUUGCUAUUGCUAUCAUCACUAAAAAAUACCAAAAACAUUACUUUUACUACUGUUACCUUUUGCUACCGUUACCACUACUAUCAUAUUACUUUGCUACUAAAUACUUUGCUGCAGAUAUUUAGUUUCCAGGUAUGGUUGAAUUGACAACUCAGCUGCUAAUACUUGAGAGUAUUCUUUGGCUCCCCUUGUGUUGAAUCAAUAAAUUUGGGUUGAAUACUUUACCCUCGAAAACUGUUGCGAUCCCCUAUACUUGUGGGUUAUCAAGACUAUUUUCUGGCGCCGUUGCCGGGGAGCAUAGCUCUAUUCUUUGAGUCACUUGGGAUAUAUAUCUGCUUAUCAUUAUGAAGAACUUGAGAGAUCCAAAAACCAAGAUCUAUCCCUCAACUACGAGGGGAGGUAAGGAACUACCAUCUAGCUCUGCACUUGAUUCACCUUCUGUUUUGAGUAAGUUUGCGACACCUACACCUGCUUCUGCUAUUCGUUCUGAUAUGUCACAUGUUAUUGAUGGUGCCACUUCUGCUAUGCAUGAUACUUAUGAUGAAACUACCUCUAUGCCUGAUACUACUAUGCCACUUAGUGAUUUUCUUGAUGAACAACUUGCUAGGGCUAGAGAAAUUGAAAAUAUUGAAUCUGAUGAUACUGAUGAAAGUGAUGAUGAAGAAUCACUUGUUAUUCCUAAGGGUUAUGUUUUUGAUCAAGAAGCUUCUUUAGCUAUUUUAGCUUGCAAAAAUAGAAAUGAACUCAAAAGGUUAUUAGCUAAAUGAAGUAAGCAAUCUCUAAAUUCUAGAAUGAAACCUGACCCUGCUUUUGCUACUUCACCUAUCUUUGUUACUGAUAAGGAUUAUGAAUUCUCUGUUGAUCCUGAUAUAAUUACUUUGGUUUAAUAUGAUCCUUUUCAUGGUUAUGAAUCUGAAACUGUUGUGGCACAUCUUACUAAAUUGAAUGAUAUAGCUACCCUGUUUACUAAAGAUGAGAGAACUCGCUACUGUUACAUCCUUCAAAUAUUUCCGUUCUCAUUAAAGGGUGAUGCUAAGUAUGGUUUAAUUCUCUUGAUCCUGGUUGUGUGCGUAGUCCCCAGGAUAUGAUUUAUUACUUCUCUGCUAAAUAUUUCCCUUCUCAUAAAAAACAAGCUGCUUUAAGGGAUAUAUAUAAUUUUGUGCAAAUUGAAGAAGAGAGUCUCCAACAAGCUUGGGGGCGGCUUCUCCAAUUACUUAAUGCUUUGCCUGAUCAUCCUCUUAAGAAAAAUGAAAUACUUGAUAUCUUUUAUAAUGGACUAACCGAUGCCUCCAGAGAUUACCUGGAUAGUUGUGCUACUUCUGUUUUUAGGGAAAGAACACCGGAUGAAGCUGAAAUUCUAUUGAAUAAUAUGUUGACAAAUGAAAAUAAUUGGACACCUCCGGAGCCAAUUCCUGAGCCUAUUCCUAAACCAACUCCGAAGAAGAGGGGUAUUCUAUUUCUCAGUCCUGAAGAUAUGCAAGAGGCAAAGAAAUCUAUGAAAGAAAAAGGUAUUAAAGCUGAAGAUGUUAAGAAUUUACCUCCUAUCGAAGAAAUACACGGUCUUAAUUUACCGCCUGUUGAAGAAACAUAUAAUCUUAAUCCAUUACCUAUUGAAGAAACACAUGGUCUUGAUAACCCGACACAGGUAGUAAAGGUAAAUUCUCUCUAUAUAUAUGAUAAAGCUGAAAUCCCAUUUACUAAAUUUUCUAGCCCAUGCUUAGAUGAGUUUGAUAAAUUUAUGGCUAAGCAAGAAGAUUUUAAUGCUUAUUUUGGUAGACAAUUAAAAAACAAUUCAAAUAUGCUUGAACACUUGGGUGAUUAUAUGGCUAAUGUUAAAGGUGAACUUAAACUUAUUAGUAGAUAUGCUUCUGUGGUUACUACUCAAGUAGAACAAGUACUUAAAGCUCAAAAUGAUUUGCUCAAUGAAUUGAAUAGUAAGAAUAAUGAUAAUGCUGUUAGAGUUAUGACUAGAGGUGGUAAGAUGACUCAGGAACCUCUAUAUCCUGAAGGCCAUCCUAAGAGAGUUGAGCAAGAUUCUCAGAGAAAUAAUAUAGAUGUACCUAGUUCUUCUAAAAAGAAGAAAAAGAAAAAUGAUAGGACUUUGCAUGCUUCUAGUGAUCCUAUUGUUGAAACACCUGAGAAUCUAAAUGAUAUUUCUAUUUCUGAUGCUAAAACACAAUCUGGCAAUGAACCUGAAAUUAAUGAUAAUGUUAAUGAUAAUGUUCAUAAUGAUGCUCAACCUAGUAAUGAUAAUGAUAUAGAAAUUGAACCUGCUGUUGAUCUUGAUAACCCACAAUCAAAGAAUCAACGUUAUGAUAAAAAAGACUUUGUUGCUAGGAAACAUGGUAAAGAAAGAGAACCAUGGGUUCAGAAACCCAUGCCUUUUCCUCCCAAACCAUCCAAGAAAAAGGAUGAUGAGGAUUUUGAGCGCUUUGUUGAAAUGAUUAGACCUAUCUUUUUACGUAUGCGAUUAACUGAUAUGCUCAAAACAAAUCCUUAUGCUAAGUACAUGAAAGAUAUUAUUACAAAUAAAAGAAAGAUACCGGAAGCUGAAAUUUCCACCAUGCUUGCUAAUUAUACUUUUAAGGGUGGAAUACCAAAGAAACUUGGAGAUCCAAGAGUACCCACUAUACCAUGCUCUAUUAAAAGAAACUAUGUUAAAACUGCUUUAUGUGAUCUUGGAGCCGGUGUUAGUGUUAUGCCUCUCUCUCUUUAUAUCGUAUACUUGAUUUAAAUAAGUUAACACCUACUAAAAUAUCUUUGCAAAUGGCUGAUAAAUCAACUGCUAUACCUGUCGGUAUUUGUGAGGAUGUGCCUGUUGUAGUUGCAAACGUUACUAUUUUAACGGACUUUGUUAUUCUUGAUAUUCCCGAGGACCAUAGUAUGUCUAUUAUUCUUGGAAGACCCUUUUUGAAUACUACAGGGGCUGUUAUUGAUUGCACUAAAGGCAAUGUCACUUUUCACGUUAAUGGUAAUGAGCACACGGUACACUUUCCGAGCAAACAACCUCAAGUUCAUAGUAUCAACUCUAUUGGAAAAUUUUCAUCGAUUAUAUUUGGAGGUUUUGAAUUUCCUCUUCCUACUGUUAAGAAGAAAUAUGAUAUUCUUAUUAUUGGGGAUGUGCAUAACCCCGUUGAGGUAACAUAGCGUUAUUCAAAAUUUCUCCGAUUCCAUGUUAUUCGGAAUGAGUUCGUUAACAAGACUUGAUCAACCUUGUUAGUGGAUUCCUCUUGAUGAUCAUGAGAUGGAUGAAACUAGAAGGCACAACCUUCUGUACCCCACUUUUACUUUCUGUUACUUAUAUUAAAUAAAAUAAAAUAAAUAUUUUUCCGUCUGUCAUCUGAUUAUCCGUGCAAUAUAAAAAUACCUCAAAAAUAAAAGUUCUCCAAAUGCCUUGAAAUUUAAAUAUGAUUUUUCCAGAAUAUUUGAGAAUAUUUGGCACAAAGAACACAGCAGGGGGGGUCAACCACCUGCCCACGAGGGUGGAGGGCGCGCCCUACCCCCUGAGCGCGCCCCCUACCUCGUGGGCCCACGGUGGCCCUCCUCCACUUAUCCUUUCACCCAUACACUCCUUCUUCCUCCCCCAAACACGAAUAUCCAGCUCAAGCACGAGUUCAAGCUCGUUUUGCUGCCAUUUUUGAUCUACUUGCUCAAAGCACCUCUCACAAAACUGCUUGGGGAGAUUGUUCCUUGGUAUGUGACUCCUCCAUUGGUCCAAUUAGUUUUUGUUCUAGUGCUUUAUUCAUUGCAAAUUUUUGCUGCUUAGGUGACCCUCUUCUUGAGCUUGCAUGUCAAAUUUAUAUGAUCAAAAGUGGUUUUGAUGCAUGAUAUUGUCCCUGGGCACUUGUAGGAGUAGUUGCUAUCAAUAUUAUUGAGUUUGGUUACUUUUAUUUUAAAGUUACUAAAAAUUUCAGAAUUUUUCAAAAAAUGAUGAGGAGACUUUUGAGGGGCUCAUCGAGCCAAAGCUCGAAGGAAAAGGCACCAAAGCCUAAGUAUAAUCUGCCUCGCACAGCGGAGAUUCGGGCGUGUGAAUGGCCUUCCGAUGAUUUCAUGAGAGCAGCCGGGAUUUAUGAAGAUUUUCAUGAAUUGGAUAAAAAUGUAGGCCUCACCGCUUUUCUCCACGACCAAUGCGAUUAGUAUCUCUUACUCACAAAUACCUUUGUGCAAAACUUUCAUUUCCAUUCUAGGAGCUCACCACCUACGGUAGAAUUCCAUUUAUAUGAUGAGCAUAAGGAGAUGUCACUUUUAUGAUUUUUGUCGGGUUUGUUUAGUCCCUUUUGAGGGCAAGACAGAAGAACCACAUCGCGACGAUGUGGAGGGAUUUAUUGAUACUAUCACUAUAGGGGAAACAAGGAAGGUUUCCAAUGCACGAAUCACUAGCAUACAUUUUCCUGUUUUACGUUACUUUGCAUUAUUUGCUAGUCGUUGCUUAAUUGGUCGCGGAAACUGUGGAAACCUUAGUAUCCCUGAUAUUAUUAUUUUGCUCCAAGAUUUAUACAGUAAUAAUACUUUUAGUAUGGGCGGCAUUAUUGCUAAAUGGUUAAGUCUGAGCCGUACAAAGGGCCCCAUCUUUGGAGGCAUCUAUGCUUCACGCCUAGCUGCACAUUUUAACAUACCUAUUAGGCAUGCUGAGAAGGAAGAAAAAGUGCUGCCUCGUGUUUAUCUAGAUUAUAAAAGUAUGGUGGCACAUGAUUUUAUUGUUUAGAAUAGGGAAGGAGAGCUUAAAUAUCAAUUGCUCUUUAAUAAACAUCAUCCUGAGACUAUUACCCUGCCUGCUCCUUCUUUGUUUGAUUUAUCUGUAGGCACGUACCUUGUUCCGUUGAAGGCUAUUCACGCCUACCGGAACCCUGCACCAGCUGAGGAGCCGGAGCCGGAACCACAAAUUGAUCCUUCAUGACAGUCUAAUUAUCAGUGGGAUCCGGAGAUGAUUGUCAGCCUGUGGCAAGUGGAGUCUUCCACUUCUUCUUCUCAGUACGACCCCAACUAUUAUUAUGGCUAUCCGCCAGGCCAACCGUGGCCAUAGACCAACUUAGGCCAAAAGCCUAAUCUUGGGGGACUACGUAUUUCCCACUGACAUUACAUUUAUGUUCACACACUCAUUGCUAGAUGUCGGCGCUCAUACUUUUUCAUUGUAUCAUCCAUGUUAGUUUAUUUCCCUUUUUAUGUUUUCUUCUUGUGUGUUUAAUAAACCUUAAGAAAAACAAAAAAAA